rnacentral:lncRNA from 1 species
ACAAUACAUCCAAAGGAGCAACAAACCACAAAGAACACCAACAAAAUACGCCCAUGAAAACAAGAAUCUGAAAUAGAUUCUAGUAGUCGUCCAUAUCAUCUUCACCACCCUCGCCAGACUCAGCACCCACUUCUUCAUAAUCCUUUUCCAGAGCAGCAAGAUCUUCACGAGCUUCAGAAAACUCUCCUUCUUCCAUACCCUCACCCACAUACCAGUGGACAAAAGCACGCUUAGCAUACAUGAGAUCAAACUUGUGGUCAAUGCGACCAAACACCUCAGCUACACUUGUGGAGUUUGAAAUCAUGCAAACAGCUCUCUGUACCUUAGCAAGGUCACCUCCAGGAACAACGGUAGGUGGCUGAUAGUUAAUACCACACUUGAAACCAGUAGGGCACCAGUCUACAAACUGAAUGGUUCUCUUGGUUUUGAUGGUUGCAACAGCAGCAUUUACGUCUUUGGGAACAACAUCACCACGGUACAUCAAACAGCAUGCCAUGUACUUUCCAUGGCGAGGAUCACACUUGGCCAUCAUAGAUGAUGGCUCAAAAGCACUGUUGGUAAUUUCAGCAACUGAAAGCUGUUCAUGAUAAGCCUUCUCAGCUGAGAUAACUGGAGCAUAUGAUGAAAGCAUGAAAUGGAUUCUUGGAUAUGGGACCAAGUUGGUCUGGAAUUCAGUGACAUCAACAUUGAGGGCCCCAUCAAACCUCAAAGAAGCAGUCAAGGAUGAAAUCACCUGAACCAAAACAAAACUCAGUAUUAGCUCAACAUCAAAACAAGUAAUUGAACAUGGAAUCACAAAAAAUUAUAACCAAAAUUGUAUCAUUUGAUAAAAACCUACCUGAGAAACAAGACGGUUGAGAUUGGUGUAGGUAGGACGUUCAAUGUCAAGGGAGCGCCUGCAAAUAUCGUAUAUAGCUUCAUUGUCCAACAGAACAGCAACAUCAGUGUGCUCCAAAAGGGAGUGGGUGGAGAGGACACUGUUGUAUGGCUCCACAACAGAGGUGGAAACCUGAGGAGAUGGAUAGACAGUGAACCCGAGUUUUGACUUCUUUCCAUAAUCAACAGAAAGACGCUCAAGGAGAAGAGAACCAAGACCGGAACCAGUUCCUCCACCAACGGCAUUAAAAACCAGGAAUCCUUGGAGACCAGUGCAGUUGUCGGCAAGCUUUCUGAUGCGGUCCAAACACAGAUCAACAAUCUCUUUCCCAACUGAAAGAUGAACACAUAAUAACAAACAUUAUAUUAGAUUAUAUCAUAACAAAUUAACACAUAAAACAAAGAUCACUAAUAAAAUGGUUUGGAAAUAAGAGAUUUUGAAACAUACUGGUAUAAUGACCACGGGCAAAGUUGUUGGCGGCAUCUUCUUUGCCGCUGAUAAGCUGCUCGGGGUGGAAGAGCUGGCGGUAUGUUCCAGUCCUCACCUCAUCAAUAACAGUGGGCUCAAGAUCAACAAAAACAGCACGGGGGACAUGCUUUCCAGCACCUGUCUCGCUGAAGAAAGUGUUGAAAGCAUCAUCACCACCUCCAACGGUUUUGUCACUUGGCAUUUGUCCAUCAGGCUGUGUACAUAAAAAUUCAAAUGUCAGCAACCUUCAAUCAUUCAACCAAAUGUACUAGGCAAAACACAUUUCUAAAAUAACAUUACAACAUAAUAAUUAUGAUGUAAAAAAUUAAGAUUUGAUUUCAAAUUAAGAGUACGUAUUAAAACAACACGUGAGCUCUUUUACAAACUAUAAUAUGCAGAUUUAAGCAUAUCAUCAAACUCAAUGAAUUACAAUAUUCAAGUAUAUAAAGAUUAACAUAAUAUUAAAACAAGAAGCAAAACAUGACACCUUGUGGAAAAAUAACGGUUCAAAUAAAAUUCACGAGUAUACUUUGCUAAAUAUACGAACAUAGAAAACGACAUCUCAUUCUAGAUGGACAUAAAACACAGAUCUCACUAGUUUCAGACCUAUAAACGAAAUCAAAGUGAAAAGAAUAAUCAAAUUUUGGAAACAAUGCAUAUAAGUAAGCGAAAACGAUGCAGUAUUAGAGAGAAAAUUAAAAUAAAUAAAAAACUAGCGAAAUUGUCAAAGUAACAUUCAAAAUUCCUUAGAUCUGAUAACUAGAAACAAUAAAAUGCUAAAAAAAAACUAGAGGAAAUGCAGAACAUAGAUCCAAUAAAAAACGCGAAUGGUCAAACUAGGAAACAAUGCAUAUAAGUUUAAGCGAAAACGAUAAUAUAGAAAAAAUAAAGAAACUAGUGAAAUUGUAAAAGUAACGGUUAAAAUUCCUUAGAUCUAAUAAAUAGAAAGAAAUUACAACAAAUAGAAAGCUAAAAAAAACUAGACGAAACACAUAUCAAAGAUUUGUACAACAAUGAGAUAGAAAGCAAAAUUGAGAUGAGAUGGAAGACUUACACCAAUGCCGUGUUCGAGACAGUAAAGCUCCCAGCAUGCAUUUCCAACCUGAAUACCGGCUUGACCAAUGUGGAUUGAAAUGCACUCUCUCAUUGUUGCUGAUUUAAUAGGAAUGAAAAUUGAAAUUGGAAGAGCGAAAGAAACGGAAGGAAGAAAGAACGAAGGACGUUUAUGAAGACGCCUUCUUCUAGAUCUGGAUCUGAUUAUGAGGAGGUUUUGUAAUUUUUGGGUUUUUAUUUAUAGUGAGAGAUAUUUGGUUCAUGUGCUAUUGUUAUGUUUAACCAUGGUUGGUUGACGGUGCGGAACUAAGGGUGAGUUGUACGCCAGAGUUAGAAACCACGGUUACUUCCUAACUUUUCAUUUGUUUGAAUUUUUUUACUUGUAUUUUAUUUUUGCCGCCCGAUGCCUGUAUAUACCAAUCGAAACUGAAUUUAGUUGUGCCGUAAUAAUUAAUGAAAAAUUAAACAAGAGAUGAUAAUGUAUUUUAUUGAUGAGAAAGGGAAGUUGAGCAAAUGAAACAAACUUUCCUUUAAUUUCUGAAUGCUAUGUUCGUUUAAAUUGGAGAGAAUUUUGAUUACAAUUAAGAGAAUUUGUUAUCUUAUCUCCCUACUAAUAUCUCUCCUACAUUUAUCGAUAGGACUUAUAUUUUUCCUCUCAAAUGUCAGUUCACCUUUUAUAGAUUUUCUAACAUACACUUUUCUAUAUCUUAGAUGCACCAUGUGUCACACAUCAUAAAUCUUAACUCUCACUUAAUGGUAUCACGAUUUAAGGUUUAACUUUGAGAAAUAAUGAUCACCGUGUAAUUCAUCUAAGAGUUCGUCAAUCACCGAUAUAGGGAACUUAUCUGGAACAAUUACCUUGUUAAGAGCACGAUAAUCUACACACAUCCACCAUGACAUGUCUUUCUUCUCAACGAGUAUCAAAUGGACUAUAAAAUGCACUUUGGCUAGGACAAAUGACUCUAGACUGCAUCAGCUAUCUGACUUGAUUCUCUAUUUCAUUCUCAUGAUGGUAAGGAUACAUGUAAGGGCGAACAUUAACAGUGUCAGCUCCUUCCAUACAUAGUUGAUCCAAACUAGCCUUUAUCUCAUGACUUGUAUCUUGCACUAAAAAAUAGAUCUUCGUUCGAGCAAUCCAACCAGGGAUCAUCAUCUGUGAACAUUAGGAGGUCAAUCGUUUUCACCGAUUGAUGUAAUUCAUCAAGCUUAUCUCCCUGCAUCUUCUAGAUCGGCUUAUUGAUUAGCUCGUUGCAGCAUAAUUCGAGUCUCCAUCACUCUUCUGUUUUACAUAAUCACCCAUUUAGUUGCUCUGAGUGAUGAGAGUGAUGAGCCUUUCUUGAUCUAUUGCAGCUUGAGCUCACAUCUCGGCAAUUGCAACCUCGAGGGUUGACAUUCGGUUCUCCAACACAUGAACUCUAUUAUCCAUCUUCUUCUUCUUUAGAGGCCAUUCACCCAAAAAAAGUGUCCACUCACUAGUUUGUAAUGUAUUCGGCAGGUCGGAUCAAAUUGAUAGGUUCUCAAUUUAUAAAUGCAAUAAUAAGAAUUAAUGAGAGAUGAAUCAACAAUUGAUAGUGUAUUUUAUUAAUGAUAAAAGGAAAUUGAGUAAAGGAAACAAGUCUUCACUUUACUCUUAAAAGUUAUGCUCACUCAAAUCAGAAAAAAUCUUCCCUCUGAUCCUAAUUAACAGAAUUUGUUAUCCUCUCUCCUUACCAAUUUGUCUCCUGUAUUCUCUCUUUGUCUCCAUCAUGUUGGCUAAGUUUGUAUUUUCAAUUUUAAAUAUUCAAAAUAGUGUUGACAAAGUUAAUAAAAUAAAUGCUUGUAUUUCUCAUAAAAUUAUACUCCCCUCAUCUCAUAGAAAUAAAAAAAUAUAUAUAAAUGUAUAUCUUAAAGAAUUUACAAUAAUUUUUUUUUGACAAUAUUUAUAAUUUAUUUAAAAAAAUAAGUGUUCUAUAAUUUCUAUUUGCAGUUUUAAAUCUUAAACAAAGAGAUGCAGUCUUUUUUUUUUUCUCUGCAAAAUGUACAAGUUGGACAAUGGAACAAGGAAAAAAGUUGUAGACUUGUCGUGCAUAAUAUGUUUAGUUUUGCUAUUAUAAUAAUUGGUUUUGACAAUUUUGAUUUUUGAUCAAAUAGAUUUUAAUUAAAAAUAAAUUGAACGUGAAUUUAUUUAUUUAUAUUAAUUAAUGUAAAUUGAUUAGUUUAUAGCAGAUAGUUUUUAGUGUACAAAAUCAUGAUUUUUUUUUUCAUGUGUUAGACUUUCUUUAUCGUGUUAGAUCAAUCAUUUAAUUAAUCAACUAUCAAUUGACAACAAAUAAUUAUUAUGAAUUAUAUUAAUAUAUAUUUAAUUAACCGAUGAAUAUGUGUUGGUUAUUUUCUGAAUAUAUGAUGAUGAGUUGAAUCAUUUUAUUAAACUCAAUCAAAUAUAUUUUCCCUCAAUUGUUUUAGCUAUCAAAUUGUUAUCAUUUUAUGUGAUUAACUUUACUGUGAAAAUUUAGACAAUGGAAAUAGUGGUAUAUCAUUCUUUUUUUAAAAUUAUUAAUUCUAUUAAACUCAAUCAAAUAUAUUUUCCUUCAAUUGCUUUAACUAUUAAAUUGUUAUCAUUUCAUGUAAUUAACUUUACCAUGAAAAUUUAGACAAUGAAAACAGUAGUAUAUCACUCUUUCUUUAAAAUUACUAAUAGCUUGUUUGAUUGUGUUUUACUUUUUAAUUUUUAAAAACUAUUUUAUGAAUAAAUUUUAGAAAACUGUUUUUAAAAAGAAAAUUUAAAAAAAAUUUGUUUGGCAACUCUAGUUUUUAAAACAGUUUUUGAUUAUAUAGUUAAAAAAACUGAAAAAUUAAAAGUAAAAUAUUAUUUAUCUGUUUUGUUUUUUUAGUUUUAAAAAGUAUAAUAUUAAAAAUAGUUUUACAUAACAGUUUUUAGAAACAAGUAAUUCAAACAAGUUUUUUAAUUUUUAAAUUUUCAAAAACUAAAAUAGAGUUUUUGAAAUAUGAAUCAAACAAGACCAUCUCUUAGAUUAAAAAAGGUAUACAAUUGUUGGUUCAUCUCUCUUUUUUAUUAAAGUGAUUAUCUUCUCUUUUGAAAUCACAAGAUAAAACAAUAAAAAAUACUUAAUUCGAUGGAAAUAAUCUUUUAACAAAUUUUGUUAAUCUUCUGACCAAGUUCUGAAUUAUUAAAUCUCCUUCUUUAAUUUGGGUACUAAUGGACUAAAACAACAACAAAUUAAGAACAUUUGAUGAUUUAGAAAUAUCAACUCAUAACACAUUAAGAAGAAGAUAAAUAUACAAACAUAUAUUCCUGUAAAACACUACACAGUCAUUCUUGUUGAUAAUGCCUUGAUAAAACAUCUUAUUACAACGGCAACAACUAUUAAAACACUAAAGUUCAAACAUUCAAUGGACAAUAGAUAGAACAUAAGCUCUCUUUAAGAAAUCGGCUCCUUAAUUUGAAAAGUACAAUAAAUCAAACUUUUCCUUAUAUUUUUGCACGAUUCACUUAAAAUUUGUCUACAACCGUCAUAUAUAACUUUUACACCUUGGGCAUUUAGGAUCAGCUUCAGAAACAAUAGCAAGCAUGCAGCAAAUCUUACAUCCCACCACAAUAAAUGAGGGUAGAUCCUCUUUGGCAUUCACCAUUGACUCACUCACACUUCUUUUUUGUAUGUCCACCAAUGCUGAUUCAACCUUUGAAUGUACAAAUAAUAAUAUAAUAAUGAUAUAUGUUUCUAUAUCUAUUUAUUUAAAAAAGACAUAAAAAAUUAUUUUAAAAAAUAGAGGAAAAUAAUAUAUACCAUAAUAGUUAUUAAGUUAUGAUGUUAGUAAUAAUUGGAAAAAAUAAAAAUAAAAGUUAAUUUAAUUUAACACUAAGAUAUUAAGAUUCUAGAAGAAAAUAUAUAUGAUGAAUAAUUAAAAACAAAAAUUACCUCAAAACUAUAUUGAUUUUGCAAUUCAAUUUGUGCUGGUUUAUUGAGAUCAAGAGAGGAGUGAAUUUGCUUUCGAAAAAGUUCAGAGCUAAUGUUACUAGCACUCUUCAUGAUAUUACCUUGACCUCUUUUUUUAAUUGUCACACCCUUCAUCUUUUGUAAUUUAUAAGUAGGUGUUUUCAUUGCCUUCAACUUAAAGCGAGAGAUGGAUAGAAGAUGAUGUAUUAAUAUGUAUAUAUACUAAGGAUGUUCUGGAGCAUACUAAUCAGAAAACCGAAGAAGGUUCAUGCUUAUCAUACCAUGCUGCAUAUUCAAAAUGCCAGUUACAGUUUGAUAGUUUUUAUUUGAAAUAUCAUAAACAUAUUCACACACCAUGACUUGAACUAAGUAGAAUAAUAGUACAUUUAUUUUAGAUAGAAAGUGGCUUUAAAAAACAUAAUAAAUUAAUGUAUAGAAAAAGUAGUUUCAAGAAAAACGUGAAGUUGACUCGGAAAAAGAAAAAAAAAAAAAAGAAAAAGGUGAAGUAAAAAAAAUGUGAAGUUAGUAUUAUUUUUAAAAAUAAUGAUUACAUUAUGUGUGAAAAAAAGGUAAUAAUAAUCAUAUAAAACGUUUACAAUUAAUUGUAAAAUUGACCGCUAAAUUCAAAUUUUCGAAUUUGUUCUAGAAUGUAGAAUGUAUAGGAAGUUGUUCCCAUCUUCUUUUUUUUUUUUUAUAUAAAUUUAAUCAGAAAAAAAAACGAAAAACGUGAAGCUCGCGUAAAAUAUAAUUAAUUUAAAAAAAUAAGGACAACAGAUAUAUGGGUGAAAAAGGUAAUUACCAUGUAUGCAUAUUUUCAUUGUAUCCUUACUUGAUUUAAUCUUACAAUUUAAAAUUCUUUUGAGGACUAGAUUCAUAAAAAUUGUAAUAAAACUUUAUUAUUGUAAACAAGCCGUAUGUGUAAUGUUGUUGUGAAAUAUCAAUUUUUAAAUUUUAUUUUUUUUAUGGUAAUUUUAAAUUUUAUUAAACAUUGUAUUUUUUGUUAUUUUUUUUGAAAUACAUUAUAUUUUUAAUUAAUACAUUUUUAUCAAUUAUAAUUAAAAAAAAACAUUGUUUAUAUAUUACAUUUGUAAAUAUAAUUAUCUCGUACGAUGAAUAUCAUGUUUAAUUAUUAUAGUUAUUAUAUAUGACACAUGUUCUUACAAAAAAAUUUAAAAUAAUUUUUAUAUACAUGUGAUAAGUUGUUACUUACGAAAUUGAAUUAUUAUACAUGAGAUAAAUUGUCGUUUAUAAGAUUCAACUAUAUACUUGAAAAAUUCUGACAAAUUAAAAAUAUCACCAUAAUUAUCAUACACAAUUUUUCAACAACAAAAAUUCAAAAUAAUUAUCAUAUAUGAGAUAAAUUAUCAUUGAUGAAAUUGAAUUAUCAUACCCAAAAAAAAUUCAGUCAUACAUAUUUCAAAAUUACUAUAUAAUACAUUAGACAAGUUAUUACCAACAAUAUUCAACUACAUACCUGAAACAAAUUUUAACAAAUAAAAACUUUAAAAUAAUUGUUAUACACAAAAGAUGUUAUCUCUUAUGAAUUGAACUAUCAUAUACAACAUACAUUAUUGCUUAUAAUAUUGAACUAUCAUACACGAUACGAGUUUUCAUUGAUAAAAAUUAUCACUGAUGACUGAUGAAAUUCAACUAUCAUACACAUGACAAAUUAUCAUUAACAAAAAUUUCUGAAUAGAUAUCGUACACAUAAUAAGUUGUCAUUUAUGAAAUUGAAUUAUACACGAAAAAUUUUUAGUUGUAAAAAUUUUAAAAUAGUUAUCAUAUACGAAAUAAUUUGUCACAAAUGAAUUGAACUACCACACACAAAACAAAUUCUAAUUGAUAAAAUUUCACAAUAACUAUCUUCUGAAAUUGAAUUAUUAUACACAAGACAAUUUUUUAUUAAUAAAAAUUUCACAAUCAUUAUCAUAUGUGAGCGAGAUAAGUUUGUCUCUACUAAGAUUGAACAUUUAAUAAAUAGUACGUGCUAUUUUGCAAUUCAAAUUUUAAAUAUACACACAUUUGUACUCUAACAAGCGCAUAAUAAAUUAAAACUUUCAUAUUCAUAAGUAAAAUUUCAAAAUAAACAUAUUAGACUCUAACAAUUAACAAAGAUGUCCCAACUCAAUCUAUCACCUCUUGCAAUUCCUGUUUUAUACUUCUGAUUUUCAAUAUAACAGGUUUCUCUGGGAAAAGAAUUAUCUGACGUUAGCACAGGAAAGAUACAGUGCCUUUCACUCUCUGUGCGCUGUCAGAUCAAUCCAGCCCUAUAAAACUUGCCAUGUGUCUCUCUCUGUUUACUUUUUUUCUUUUAAUUUAAAAAAUAAAAGGUAGCCGAAAGUCGAAACCAUUGCAUUGCCUUCGUCUCUUGCCUCUACGCCGUCCUGCCGCUUCAUCUCCUUUCAUUGUCGACCCACCAUUGCAUCACAUCACAUCACAUGUGCUUCAAAGUCACGCUCUUUCUUUCAGAUUAUAGUUCAUCAAUUCUCCAAUGUCAAUUCUCAUCAUAAGCAUGAACUAUAUUGUUAGUUCAUCAUCACAAGUACUUCACUCAAAACUCCAAAAGUAAUAAGUUAAUGGAGUAACUAUGCGAUUCAGUUAAAGUUUAUUACACCAACCAUUUGUCAAAAGUGAUUGUAAAAUCUUCUCAAAGUCUUAGUUGCCAACAAGAAAUCGGCAACUUCAUGCUUAUAUUAGAAAGGAUUCCAUUGGCCAUACUUAAAUCACCUUCACAGUUCUCAAAUCAAUAGACAGCAUGGUUCACUUUAUGACACAUUUUUUAAGUCCCGAUCACAUUUUUUAAGUCCCAAUCUCCCCAGCCUUAGUGGUCUACGAAUUUAUUUUCUUUUUACAAAGAAGAUCAUGGUGGUAAAGGAAUCGGGGGUGAAGAAAUGGUGCGGUAGAGGAAUCAGACCGAAGGAGGAAGUGACGCGGCGGCAAAGGCAAGAGAUUUACGAUGUGGCGAUGCAAUGGUUUUGUCUGCCUUUUCUUUUUUGAAAAGAAAAAAGAAAGUUGAGAGGAACAUACAGCAAAUGAAUAUGGAGUUAGAUUGAUCUGACGGCACAUUCGGAGUGACAGGCACCCUGCCUUUCCCAUGCUAAGGUCAGUGGAUCGGGAUCCGGUUUUUCUGUCAUAAAAAAAAAAGGCUUUCCAAUGAGAGGAAUCUGAAGUGUGAGAAAAGUUCAGAGCGUGUCACCUCAAAUGCCUUGCAAACUUCAUAUUGAGAAUGAAAUAUCUAAACAGCAAAACACAUGUAGUUCCAUAUACACUAAUAUAUUGGAGAAAAUCAUUCUGAAACAGUACCAUCUACAUGCUUAUGCUGAACAGAAUUUGGUUUUUACCUAAACAUCAACGCACAAAGAGAGAGACCAAUGCUAUUGAAAAAAAAACUAGUAUAUCCUCCUAACACCAUACUUGGAUUAUAUUCAAAAUGUAACACCAGAGUGACCUGAAUAUUUUAUAAAACUCAUUACAUCAUUCACAACCUAUUCAAAACAUAGAACCAAAUUGACCUGAACAUUUUAUAAAAUUCAUUACAUCAUUCACAACCAGUUAUUUAUUAUGUACUUAUCAAUGCAUUUCACAGAAAAGAUUAACAAGGAUCAUCAGAUUAUUUAUUGAAAUUCUCCUAGAUGACAUGGGGGAAUGAAAGUACGCCUCGGCGAGUAUGCAGGGAGAUUAAGACCAAAACCUGGAUGCAGAUCAAACUCUCCACCCCAAAUUGGAGGCCUUCCAAAAGGAAUAGGGCCUCUUCUCCUUUGAAAGUAUCUCAUAAUACCACUGCGACGAAUUCGAACAGGAAGCGGUUGCUCAGCUUUCUUCUUCGUUGCCCGGUAAUGAGCAAACAAGUUCUUAAAAAACUUCCCUCCAUCCAUCCUUUGUCCAAACUCCUCCUCAAACUUCUUCUUCCACAACUCAUCGUUUGAAGCAAGGUAUUGCAAUUCUGAACACGUGCAACACACUUUAGCCAAAUCAUCACCAGGAAGAUACUCAAAUAUCAGAAGCUUAAGUUCCAUCGGGAGUCGCAUAAAACAAGGUGGAAGAUCCAAUCCAACUUUAUCACAAAGAUCAAUUAAAAGUGGUAAUGCAAGCCUAUCUUUAACAAUCUUCCACAAUUCAAAAACUUCAUCUCCACCAUCAUUAACACCACUAGCAUUAGAUUCAGAACUCUCCAACAUCAUAAACUCUAAAGGCUUGGCAAAUCUACAUUUAUCUAAAUAAACCCUAUGAACCCUAGAGCCUACGUCAUCACACAAUGAACCACAAACAUUCACAAAAUUCCCUAAUUUCUGAAUUUUCAAAUUCACAGCAUGAGAUGAACCAUUAGUGAGAAUCUCAGGAAGAGUAUACCUCAAAGAUAUCAUUGAAGAAGAAGAACAAUCAUCAAGAAGAUGAGAGCAACUAAUCGCCAUACCCGAAACCUGAUCAACACGAACAAACCCAGAUUCAAGAAUAACAGCAUGAACCGCAAAUACCAAUAGCUUGAAAUCGCUAAAGUCAUCGCCAAGCGCUUCUUUAAGAACUCUUUUCACAAACUCAGGUUCAGAAUUGUUCUUCAACACUACCACCGCCUCAUCAGACACGUCAACCAUUUCUACGUUUUCUGAAUCUGCAGGGUUCAAAGCCGGAGACUUUUCUCCGAUUGGAAUCGAAUGAGUGUCGCCGGCGUUGUUUUCCGGCGAGUCUUGAAUGAUGGGUCGAUGGUUGGAAUGGGGUUCUUGUUGUGGGGUGGGUUUGUGAGGGAGGGUUUCGCGGGAGAAGGUGUUGGGGUUGAAUGUGUAGAAGAUGAGGUCGCCGGUGGCGAUGCCAAUUGAAUGGAGAGAGUCUUCGGGCGAAGAAGCGUCGAUUUCGUCUUUUCUGUUGAGGGAUAGAUGGAGAGAAGAAGAGGAAGAAGAAGAAGAAGAGAUUGCAUGAGAAAUGGUUUGUUUGAGUUGGUGAAAGGAACAUGGAUCGGGAACUUCGAUUUUUAGGGUUUCUUUGGAUUCGAAAGAUCUGAGUCUUAGUUUCAUGGUUGUUGAUUGUAAUAACAGAGGUAAAUGGGAAUCGUAAGCAAUGUGAGGAGCGUUCGUACUGUCUCUUUGUUUUGUUUUCGCUAAAAUUCUUUGUCUCAACAGUCGAAUAUAAAUUGCCAAAUAUAUACUCCUCUAAACUAAUGAAUCUAAUUUUAAUUUUUUAACUAUUAUUUGUAUUUAUAUUCAGUAGAUUGCUAAACAAAUGAGUACACCAUGAAUUAAAAAUUACUAUUUGAAAUAAAUAAAUUAUUCCAAUUAAUAAAAAAAAUGUAUUUCAUAUACAAAUUAACGAUAAAAAUAAGUUAACAUGUAUAAAUAAAUAAAAAAGAUAACAAUGAUAAAUAUAUUAUUAUUAAAUUGUAUAAGUGUCGUUACUUCAUGAUGUAUCCGUUAUAUUAACUUGCUAAAAACUAAAUUUUACGUAAGUAAACGAAAAUAUUUAACAACUAUUGGAGAGAUGCUCUAACAAACUUGUAAUCCCAAUACCCUCAUCCUCAAAAUGUAUAUAAUCUCCCAAAAAUGGAAUUAAUUGGUUUCUACUUUGAACUACAUCCCUGAAUGAAGUUUGAACAAAUAUUUUUCUAUAUCCGUACAUAUAGAAAAUAAUACAACUAUUAUUUAUAUGAUAAAGUCUUGAAUAGAGAAGAAUGAUUGAACAAUGUUAUCCUUCUAAUAUAGGAAAUAGACUAGCUCUAUCGUACGACAACUUGUGCUUAACUAUAUAUGUGAAAGAAAAAGAUUACUCCAUAAAGAAAUACUUAUUUUUUUUAUUACUAGGAAUCAAAUUCGUUACUCCAAAAUUUACAUCAUCCACAUAAGACACAUUUGUUUUUUUAAAAUGAACUUGUUGACCCUAAGUUGCAUAAUUGUCCAACCCGUUUUAUCUCCCACGUCCUUAUGAAAUUACCUAGGAUGAGUGUCUUUAGAAAAUCGGGGGUGCGGAUAGCUUCCCACCAAUUUUCGCCCUAUUUAAAAACUAAAAGGCCCAAAAGAACAAAAAAAAAAGUAUUUUGCGUUUCCUACAAAAUUAAGGGCACAAGCUUAUAAGGGGAACACUUACCAAGCUGUCAAUCAUCAAAUUAUUAUUGUUGUUGUUGUAAUUAUUAUUAUUGUUAUUAUUAUUAUUAUUAUUACUACUCCUGUCUGUCUCCUUCUCAAUCUCGCUCGAUCACUGUAAAAUUAAAAAUCCCUCUUUUCAGUUUCAGUUUCAAAACCCCGCGUGAUUAAGCUCCACUUCCACCACUUCUAUAAACCUCGUCUUUCCAUUGGUAAGUAUAUAUUUAUAUAUAUAAACAUCUCACCUUUUCUCUUAUAUUCUAUAACCCCUAUCUAAAAAUCUUUAAACCGCAUUCAUCUUUUUCAUUGUAACCUAAUUUUCUAUAUACAUUUUUUUUAAUUCUAAGAUAGGGGCACUCCCAUAUUGAAUUUGAUUUUAAAUUUUUAACGUGGUUAGUGUUUCGAUUUCGGCGACCUCACUUUUAAUUUCGAUCACUUAAGUGCUAAUGAAUUUCACUAUUUUUCCCGGGAAUUAUGUCAUUAUUAUUAUUAUCAUUAAUUUUUUUUGUUGGUUUAAUGUUAUAUACUAGUAUUGUAGGAUACUAAGAUAUGAGUAACUUUUUACACUUGUAGAUUGCAUUAGCAUUAGUCUUUGGAGGCUUAUCUGCUAAGAUGUCCAAUAAUAAUCCACAAUAUCCAGGUUUACAGGUAGAGUAUCUAGAAGUAGAAAUUUUUGCUGCUUUAAAUGUUAUUAUUUUAAUUUAAUUUUUUAUGUUAUUUUUUCUUUUUGUUUUGCAAGCCUAUUCGGCCUCCGAUUCCCGGUUCAGUGGAUCCUCAGCGCAAUUUCGGUCCACUCAUGCCUGUUCAAGUAAUUAUUUUGUGUUUUAUUUAUUUAUUUACUAACUAUGAUGGUAUCUGCUCUAGGUCAAAUCAUCUUAUACGAAUAAAUCAAUUUGUUUAUGCAGUUUCGCUCUGUUGUUCCCCCUCAACAGCAACAACAGUUUGUUCCCAUGCCUGCUCAACAUUACCACCAACAGUUUAAUGUCGGAAUGCCUCCUCAAAAUCAGCAGCCUCAAUUUUCUCAACCAAUUCAACAGUUUCCCCCGAGAGCUGGUCAACAGUUACCACACCCAUCACAGGUGAUUCCGAUGCCAGUUGUGCGGCCGAACAUGCAGCCAUCAUCCGAAUCAAUGAUGCCACAGCCUGAUUCUCAAGCUCCAAACGGAUACACACCGGGUUUAGGUGGCCCAGGAAAUGGAAUGCCACUUUCCUCAUCGUAUAUGGUAAAGUUCCGGCUUUAAUUUAUGUGGGAUAAGUUAAAUUUCCAUCACACGAAUGCUGAUUCUAGGUUUGCAUUUAUGCAGUUUGCACCAUCUUCUUAUGGUCAAGCGCAGCAACCUAAUUUUAUUUCUACUAGCCAGUACCAACCUGUUCCCCAAAUCCAAGCUCCCUCUGGUUCUUCAUCUCAAAGCAUUACUCCUGGCACAUCUCAUCAGAGCAAUGGUGAACAACCAACAGUUGCAACUUUCAUGCAUUCAGUACGAGUCUUACUUAUUUUUUACUUCAUGCAGAUCCCGUGUUUUGCCUCCACAGAAAUUUUUAUGCAGUCUUAAUUUAUUUCUUUCAGGCUACAGUUGUUCAGCCACACCUUGCCAAGGUUGGCCCUUCAGAUUGGAUCGAGCAUAAUUCUUCUACUGGAAGAAGGUAAAUGAUUCAAAUGUUUGCUUGUGAUCCUAAGUUACAGAUCACGGUUGAAAAAUAAAAAAGGGGUUGGGAGAGUGGAAAUAAGUGAGGAUUGCAACCGAUGUUUUUAAUAUGCUUUCCCUGUAGGACAUAUCCUCUUAGUGUUUUGUGCCCAUCUUCAUUCGGCUUGGUAGUUCUUUUUUCACCUAUCAUAGACUCCAAGCAUACUUUGGGUUGUAGACUGUAGUUACUUUAUCAUGAUGGUAUCAUUCUUAAUUAAAAUGGUAUCAAAACUAAAAUUAAAGAUACUAGUUCCUGGAGGUUUAUUUAGUGUUUUAUUUUCAGAUUAACAUUUGUUCAAUUCAUUUUACUUAUAGUUAAUAGAUUCUUAUAUUGACAUCACUCUUGUUACUAAUUGCUAUUUGUUUACAUCUGAUCUCUAUCCUUUUUAACUUUUGAUUUCCAUAAAGUAAAAAAUUAGUUCAACAAACCAUCUAUAAAAGGGAAAUUACCAUUAGUGUUCGUUAUUUAGACUUAUCCCCUGGUUUAUGUUGCAGUCAAUUUUUAAAUAUUCUUGAUGUUCUUUUGGUCAAUUAGGUCAAUUUAAUAUUCUCUCGAGUAAUGCUCAAACCUUUUCCAGUAAUAACUGUCUACAAGUCUCAGUUUAUAAAAUUUAACUUUAUUUUACAGAUUUUACUACAAUAAGAGGACUAAAUUAUCUAGCUGGGAGAAGCCUUUUGAAUUGAUGACACCUAUUGAGGUGAGCCAUUAAUUUCACUCAUCUUGUUAUAUGAUUCAUUAGUCAUGCCUUUGGAACUUUUACUUUUGGGUUUCUGGUGAAAGUUGCCACAUUUGCAUAUUGGUCAGUAAGUACAAUAAUCUGGUGUAUUAGCUCACUCUGUACUGAAUGGGUUUUCUCUCAGGCUGGCAACAAUCAAUCUUGACUUUAACGUCUUGUUGUAAGGUCAGUUUUGUGACAAUUGCCAGUUGGACUGUCUGAUAUCAGCUUUGUUUUCCUUGGAUGCUGCUGUAGAAUAACUUUUUAUUUCAUUCUCUUAUAAAAUAUAGAAUGCAAAUUAUUCCCUUCAAUUCAGAAAGAGUGACAAGAAACAGUUGAUUUUGUCCUAAGAUUAUUUUUAGUAUCCUUUGUUUAAUACAAAAUAACAAUUCUUAUUCCUUGGGUUUCUUGCUUCCUUCUUUGUGUGCCGACUUCUAACUCACCGUUGCUUAUGCAUGCUUCAUAGAACAGUUAUGUAUAUUUGUUUAAGUUUAUUUCUGAAAAUAAAGUGCUCUUUCUCUGGUUCCACUUCAUGUGUGUGGCAUGUGCACAUAUUUUUACUUUUUGUUAAUGUGAUUUUCACUGAAGAUAAUUACUGUCCUCUAUUUGCUUAAUAGGCAUUGAUGUAUAAUGCAUAAGUUAUGUUGAUACUAUACAUGUUAAAAUAAGAGAAUUGUACUGAUCGAUCUCUUGUUCUAUCAUUUUCUAAUUAUCAAAGAUAAUUAAUAAUAAGCCGAUUUCUGAUGAUAUACAGUUUCUUCACAAUGCUAGUUCAAUGUAUUCUUAAGAAAAGGGUCCUAGUAUAUCUGUUUAGUGUAAGAUUUUGAGCAUACGAUGGCUGUCUUUUAGUAAUAUUAGUAUCACUCUAGACACUUCAAAGUCGGUGGCUGUUUUUAAUGCCUUUAGGAUAUCAUAUCUUCCUUUUACUUUAUUCAAAUCUACAUAUGUGACUCCCAUAGCUUUAAGAUGCUUACAGGUACAUGCUGUGCUACUCUAUUGAGAGGUAGACUUUUCUUGGGGUCUUUGCUGCUUGCCGUACCUACUAUUUUACUUUAAUGUUAGUAAAUUAUAUCACUGCGUCAUUGUCUAGAUUUUUAAUUACUUUGGAAUUUUGUAAUGAUUUAUCAGUGAAUUUGAAUUAUGCAUGCUUGAUGCUUCUAAAUCUUUACACAAUUUUUAUAUCCGUUCUAGGGCUAGUUCUCAAAACACUAUUUAGUGUAGUUUUUCUUUUGCUUUUUCUCUCUCUUUUGCACUUCUUUUUUCCUUCCCUUUUUCCUGGGUAAGGACAAGGUCUAUAUCCCCUCAAGUUCUUCUUUUUCUCUUUUUAAUUAAUCUAUUUUUAGCCUUAAAAAAAAUGUCAUUACUUUUAUGAAGGUUGGACUAGGCAACAUUUUCAUCUAAAACAAUGUUUCCAACCUUCCUGUUUGUGGAAUGAAUGUUACAUAAGAAUAUGGGUGUUGAUUUUCCAAUGUACCACUCAUACCUUAGAACAUGAGUUUUCUGUUAUGAAGCAGUAAGUUACUUUGCUUUCUAUUUCUCCUAUAUGCGGUUCACUGCUGUCUGAUUUUAGGAUCUUUACAAAGGUACUGUAAAUGAUGUUCGCAAAGAAAAUUUGCAGGUGCAUUCAUUUAUGGACUUUUGGUAUGAAUGUACAGUGUAGUUACAUUAUGAAGAUUCGGAAUUUCAUGUUCACUGCAUAUGAAUCCUUUAGUAUCCUUGUCUAUAUACAAUAUGCUCUGUUGAGAGGAUUGCAUGUAACAAGAGGGACUGUCAAGGUUUCUGGUGAAAUGAUUUGGGUCACUUGGAUUUUCUGUUAAGAUUUGACAAGGAGGAGAAAUAAAAAUAAAAAUUGUGGAAAACCUGACUAUAAUUGGCAUUACUAUAAUAUGCGACUUGUAAAUCACCGGGAACUGGAGUAAUAGGAAGUACAAUUCAUAGAUAUAAAUGAACUUUUUUUUUGCUUAGGAAUGAUAAAAAUAUAAGUAGGCUGGUUUUCUAAGUGAUUGACGUGAGUUGGGUUGUUAGUAAUUGGUCCUUUAUCUCGCCCAAUUAUUUCCUGGAUUUGCUGUUAUUUUUAUCAUAAGCUAUUUAUUUGGAAGGAAAUCUCCUUGUGAUAAGCUAUCAACUAAUUCCAUUCUUUACAUUUUAUUAGAGGGUGGACGCAUCAACAAAUUGGAAGGAGUAUUCGAGUCCUGAUGGAAGAAAGUGUGUCCUGGUUCUGUUAAUUUGUCUUUUUCUUCUGUUUUUAAUGCUUGGUGCUAAUUUUUCUUUUAUUUUAUGAAAAAUCUCUAGGUAUUACUACAACAAGAUCACUAAGGAAUCAAAGUGGUUAAUUCCUGAGGAACUGAAGGUUUACACCAUUGCAAACAAUGUCGUUUUAAAUAGUCUGAGUCAUUUUAUGCCACACAUUUCUGUACUCACAUUUAUUUUCUGUAUUUGUGCUUUGCUUCAAGUUGGCCCGUGAGCAAGUUGAAAAGGCAAUGAUCAAUGGAGCACUUCCUGAGGCAGUACUGAAUCCCCGUACUCAACCUUCUGCAACUUCUGUUUCUGAAGCAAUGCCUAGUGCAGAUAAUUCAUCUUUACCUGGUCAAGGUGAACCAUCAAGUCCUGUUCCUGUUGCUCCAGUUGUUACUACAUCCCCAAGUAAUCUGCAGUCUGAGAUAGCUCCCGGAUCAUGUGGCUCUCCUUCUACAAGCGCUGUAACUGGAACAAAAGUGGAUGAACCUGAGGCACCACCCGUAAAUACUAUCAAUCCAUCAGAUGCUAGUGUGGGAAGUGAUAGAGCUAUUGUUUCUGAUAUUAACACUAGUGUAACACCAAUGUAUUCCCUAUUCUGCCAGUUUAAUUUUCAUUCUUUGAUUUCAUUUUUGUCUGGUGGGACGUAAUUUUAUUUGUUUCUGGUAAAAUGUUGUAGGAAUGACACCAACAACUUUGCAGCUCAAGAUACGGUAGGUUCUGCAGAUGGAGUUCCAGGAGAAGAUAAAGACGUAUGCUUCUCUCAUUGAAGUCUUAAUAAUUGUAUUGGACGAGUUUUGCUUCUGGUGGUUAGCAAGCUGAUUAAAUCUUUACUUUUGUAGGAUGGAAAAAUUGAUUCAACAGGGGAGAACGUUAAUGAAGUGGCCUCUGAAACAAAGACAGUUGAGCCAGAAUCCUUAGUUUAUGCGAAUAAGAUGGUAUGAGAAUGAAAUAUCAGUAUAACAACUCUCUCUCUCUCUCUAUAUAUAUAUAUAUAUGCGUGUGUGUUCCUGGGCAUUGAGCAUAUGCUAUAUUUCCCUUUCAGGAAGCUAAAGAUGCAUUCAAAUCACUCUUGGAAUCUGUAAAUGUUGGACCGGACUGGAGUUGGGAUCGGGUAUAGUGAUCUCAAUUCAUUGAUAUAUUUUAUUUGUGUUAUAACAUUUUUUUACUUUUUGAAUGUUUCUUUUGUUUAUUUGAUUUGCUUGAGUUGAUGUUCAGGCUAUGCGAUUAAUAAUUAAUGACAAAAGGUAUGGUGCCUUAAAAUCUCUCGGAGAAAGGAAGCAAGCUUUCAAUGAGGUAAUUCAUAUGUAACCACGGAUAGAUUUCUUACUCCCUUUACUCUUAUCUCUUAUUUAGUUUUUCCGCUUGGAUGCACUUUACUUUAGCUCAAAUAUAUUAUCUGUCACAGCUACAUCACUUUUAUUUGUAAAUCGGCGAUCUUACAAUUUUAGUCGAUAAUUUGUAAUGGCUAAUGUGCUGCAUCGUUAACUUAACACCACUGUUUUUUAUUUUCAGUACUUAAGUCAAAGGAAAAAACAGGAAGCAGAAGAAAAGCGUAUGAAGCACAAAAAAGCACGGGAAGACUUUAGAAAAAUGUUGGAAGUAUGUUCAUCUGCUUCAUAAUUUCUUUAUAACAAUGGAUAUGUCAUUUCCUUUGAUUGUGCAAUUUUUUGUGCUAAUAUAUACAAUUAUUUUCCAGGAGUCCACGGAGUUGACUUCAUCCACAAGAUUCAGGUUUCUUUUUUAUUUCAUGAUAUUUGAAUUUUAUUUUUUUCUCUCAACUUAGAUUGGCCAAGUCUUUCAAUCAAUUUAUUUGGGAUCUUGCUAUUGAUUUUUAUUUGGAAAUCAACUCAGCAAAGCAGUAGCUAUUUUUGAAAAUGAUGAACGCUUCAAGGCCGUCGAGCGAGAUAGAGAUCGCAAGGAUAUGUUUGAUAGCUUCUUGGAGGAACUUAUGAACAAGGUGCAUUCUACUAUAUAAUCUUUCAGCCAUUUAAUUCUAUGCUGUAGCUAAAUUAUGUUAUGGACCUCUAUGUAAAGUCUUUUUUAGUAGUAAAAUUUGGGAAUCUAGAUAUAAUGUAUAAUUGUAUAGAAACAUUGUCGAACAUUUUUAAUGGAUAAGGAACCAUGAUGGAGGUUUUUCAAGGUUGUAUUUAAUGCAUUAAAAAAAUUGCAAAUCUUUUAAAUGCUUUUAGUGAAUAUCAACCUCUGGUAUUUUCGUUAGGAACGGGCUAAGGCACUGGAGGAACGGAAGCGAAAUACAGUGGAAUAUAGGAAAUUUUUGGAAUCUUGUGACUUUAUAAAGGUAAAUGUUUUUUUUUAUUCAUUAUGUUUCUAAAUGUCUUAUGUUAGAAAUUGUAUUGAUGCAUUCAUCACCUUCUCCAUAGGCUAAUACGCAGUGGCGAAAAGUUCAAGACCGCUUAGAGGCUGAUGAAAGAUGCUCUCGACUUGAGAAAAUUGAUCGCUUGGAAAUAUUCCAAGUAACUUUUUUUACUUCACAAUUAAAGCUGAAUAUUAUUGUGAUUCAACUUCUGUAAUAUUGAAAUUUUCAGCUAAUUUUAUUGAGAUGGGAAAAUAAAUUACAGAACCCUCAACACAAUCAAUUAUAUAUAUGUACACACAGACACAUGCAUAAACACACAUAUACAUACAAGGUGUACAAUACUUAAUAUUUGAAACUUUGUAUUAAGGAGACAAUGAAAACUAAUUAAAUAAAACAGCUAAUUAGAUGAUACUCUCCCUAUGUUGGAGAUACUUUCCAACAAAUCUAAUUUAUAUUUUACCUCUCAGGAUUAUUUACGUGAUUUAGAGAAGGAAGAGGAAGAGCAGAAGAAGAUACAGAAGGUGCUGUCAUGUUUAUGCCUUACAAGUGGUUGUAGGACUCUACCCCCUCCUUUAUUUUAUUGCAUAAUCUCAUCUUUGUUCUCAAACAAAAUAGGAAGAAUUGAGAAAGACGGAACGUAAAAACCGUGAUGAAUUCCGCAAAUUGAUGGAUGAACAUAUUGCUUCAGGCAUUCUCACAGCAAAAACUCACUGGCGUGAUUAUCAUUUCAAGGUUAACUGUCCAUUUCUAUGGUUAUUCAUCUUUUUGUUUAUGUUUUCUGUAUUCUGUUAGACUUUCUGCUUUCUUUCAUAAUGUUAUUACCUUGUUUUAAUUUUCUGAUUUGUUGCCUUGGACACUUGGAUAAACUAUUUUACAGUGAAAACAAUGAUGAGUGUGUUUCGUGGUCUUGUAGGUGAAAGAUUUACCAGCCUAUCUAGCAGUGGCGUCAAACACCUCAGGUUCAACUCCAAAAGAAUUGUUUGAAGAUGUUGCUGAAGAGCUAGAGAAACAAGUGAGUAUGCUCUACUGUCUUUACGGUUGGUUUCGAACCAUCCGAGUAUCCUUUUUUUCUUCCCGCUCACGAUUAUUUUUCAAAAGCCAUAUUUUGUCUCUUUAGAUGCUCUUGGGAGCAACUUAAAUUUCAAUUUAGUGUGAAGCCAAGAUAAAGAAUCAUUAUUUGUUGAUACUUUUAAUUUCUCUUUAAAUCAUGAGGCAUUCAAUGACUUUAGUUAGAAGCACACUCACAAGAAUUUAUACCAACCUAAAUGUAUUUAAGGUAUCCCAUAACAAUAAAAAAUCAAUUUGGGUUCAAAUGAUAAAUUUAAUUAUGCAUAUUUUACUAUAUUGAGAUAGCGUUGCUCCUCAACUCACGUGAGCUGGACAACUUUUACAUUUAUGCAUCCUUAAAAACUUUGGAAUUGAAAAAAAAAGUUCUCAUAAAAUCCAAAUCUUCCUUCUUAUUUAUGUUACAGUAUGUUGAAGAAAAGAGUCAAAUAAAAGAUGCAGUGAAGUUGGCAAAGGUAUGAUGAGUUGAUCCUUUGUGGUUUCUGUUUAAAAAUCCUCUUCUGAUAUAUACAAUGUUAUCAUACUUCUCAGAUUACAUUGUUGACAACCUGGACUUUUGAAGACUUCAAAUCAGCUUUAUCAGAACACAUUAGCUCUCCUUCUACAUCUGAUUCCAACUUAAAGGUAGGUACAGGAGUGACAAAUACAAGCAUACACAGGUCUUGGGUUUUUUUUAUUUAUAUCUUGGUACCAUUUGCAAACUUGUGUUGUGCAAUGAAAGGCGUCUCAAGCUUUUCUUAUAUUGCUAGUUUUCCUCACAGUUAUAGCUAAAGAAGUUUGUUUCUUUGCUAAAUGAUAUCCCUUUUCCAUGUCUGGUCUGAAUAUGUGCUAUUCUGCAGUUAGUGUUUGAAGAGCUACUAGAACGUGCUAAGGAGAAGGAGGAGAAGGAAGCUAAGAAGCGUAAACGUCUUGCAGAUGAUUUCUUUCGUCUACUAUUUUCUAUCAAGGUGGGGUAUUGUGGUCAUUAACUAAUAAGUUUUUUCAUGUGGUAGUUAUUGGGAAAUAAAUAUCUUAACUCUUUUGCUUAAUUGUUGCAGGACAUUACCGAGUCUUCAAAGUGGGAAGACUCGGAGCCACUUCUUGAAGAUAGCCAAGAGUUCAGGUCUGAAUUACGAUUAUUUUAAGCAUGAAACAUAAAUGUUUGUUUCCUCUUUUAUUAAUGAUUCCAGGAAGAGGUUAAAAGUUUGAGGUCAUAUUUAAUAUAUAAGUGAAAUCAUAAUAUUACUACUAUCAUCAAAUUGCAUCAUAGCACAUUCCAGAAGUAAAGUUAUUGUUUCUAACACUACAAAUAACUAUAGUCUAUCCUAUGUUUUAAUAGUGUCCUAGUAAGUCGCUGCUAUGGUGGUCUUUGUGGCGUUGAGUUUCACUGCCGCAGCUGCUAUUAUAGUGUAAAUAGUGGUUGUUUGCACGCUCCAAGGAAGCGUUUAUGAAAGCAUUUGAAACCCAAAUAUACCCCUCACAAUUUUAGGGUCUGAGGUGGGAUUGGGUGUAGUUUAGGGUUUUCAGGGUAAAAAAACAAGGGUUUCUAAGUUAAACACCCCCAAAUCUCUAUUUCUUUAGUUCGUAAGUGCCUGCUGUCACUUGUACUUCAUAGUCCAUACCCAUCCAACCUUCGAGCUUUCCAGCGACCUUCCAACAACUUCUCUCCGGCGACAUUCAUCUGUUUCCCUAUUGGUUCUCAUUGUCCUGCAGAUUUUUCAUGUCAUUGAUGCUUAAUCUUGUCUGUUUCUUUAAAUGAAAUUCACCAUGAACAAAAACAAACCAAAUAGAGCAAGGUUUCAUAAAUUAUACCUCAAUAAUGUCUACACCCAAGGAUUGAUUACAGAGGUUUAGCGCCCCAUUGAUAUGUGAGAACUCAUUGAGUUACUAAAUUGCAAAAGAAAGAAAAGAAGAAAACUUCAAGAUAAAUUAUGCAAGCCAAGAAACUCUUCAAUUCUUCCCAUCUCCAACAAAUGUGGUAGAGCAGACAAUGUUGUUAAGUAUUGUUGGGAAGGACUCUAGAAUUGUUGGUGGCUGAAGGUGGGGCAUAUGCAUUGAUGAAAAUUGGUGAGGGAUAUGGGACCGCAAGCAGACAACGAAGAUGAGCAGAGGAUGAUGAGCUCGUAGCAGAGGCAACAAGACACAAACCUAAGCUCCUAGUGACAGGAGACAUGGUCAGACUGUAGGGUGACAGGUAAAUGGAGUUAAUAUUUUUAAAGUGUUGUCAAAUAGCAGCUAUAGCAGCACUAUAGCAUUGUAGCGUAGCGGAAUUUGAACAAACCCCUAUUUUCCGCAAUGACAACGUUGGCCCUUCUGCAGAAAAACAGCUGAAAUAAAGCCAAACUGCAGAAAAGCAGACACAAAUUUAGCCUGUGGAAAGAUAGGCUGAAAUGAAGCCAUUUUGUAGAAAAGCUGGUUACAUGUGGAAAGACAGGUAAAUGGAGUUAAUAUUUUUAAAGUGUUGUCAAAUAGCAGCUAUAGCGGCCCUAGUAGUGUAGCGUAACAGAAUUUGAACAAACCUCUAUUUUCCGAAAUUGACAACGUUGGCCCUUCUGCAGAAAAACAGCUGAAAUAAAGCCAAACUGCAGAAAAGCGGACACCAAUUUAGCCUGUGGAAAGAUAGGCUGAAAUGAAGCCAUUUUGUAGAAAAGCUGGUUGAAACAGUUUCAAUAGACAUAAUGAAGCUGAAACAACUGCAACAAUGCACAACAAAAUUGAGACUAAAACUUAAUGUGUUAAAACGCGCAAAGAUGAGAUUAGUGCACAAAAAACGAGUGGUAAUUGAGAGUCAUGAAGUUGAGACAAUGGAACUGAGAAACUAUUUUCAUGGUGUUGGAUACCAUGUUGAAAUUGUACGGAUUUUUGGUAGAGAAGGAACACAAUAACCACCACUACCAAAGUCUUUUCCGACUAGAUUGGAUUGAAUACAUGAAUUAGAUGACGGCAUAAUGUCCAUUCAAUGAUAGGACAUAUAAUCUAAACCACUCGUAUUUGUUUGACCUAUAGUCUUCCUUGGUCUCCCCCUAUCUGUAACCUUGCAAAAACCGGAUUUGACCUGUCGAUUUGACUAGUUCAACAGUGAAUUUAACCUAUGGUUGGUCAGAUCAAGGGUGUGAGCUGCGGAAGUUACUAAACCAGAGUAUGUAUGGUACAAAACUUGACUAAUUUGUUAACUGUUAAAAAACUCCAAAAGUUGUCUGGACUAGAAUCGAACCGUGGUUCUCAGCGUCUCGCGCCGUGUUAAACCACUGGGCCGUAGUUAUCGUUUAGUAUAUAUGCACUAUUUUUAAAAUACACACACACACCCCUUAAUGAAAUACCAAAAAAAUCAGUUUUACUACUGCUAAGAGAAUUUAACAUUAUUAUAUGACAUGAAAGUAUAAUAAUUUUUUAUCUCAAUUUUGAAAAUUUAUAAUACAGAAAUACUCACACUCUGGUGCUUCUAUGGGUCCUGCCGAAAACAUGCUUAAACCACCUACGACAAGACACUACCUCCUGGUAGGAAAGAAAUGUUUAAAUAUUAUUUGUAGGGCCUAUAAGAUACAAGUGACUAUAUGUUUUGGUAGUCCGUGGUUGUGCACCGGCAUUGGCAAAUAGAGAAAAUAGGAAAGGACAUUAGGUAAAAACUAUUAAUUGCAUGUAAUAAUGCUGAUUUUACUGAAUAAAACAACGAAUGAAAUAAUACGUAAUUAUCCUUAAUUCUUAUGCAUAUAUUUCCUCCUUCGCCAGACCUUUUAGUAUUAGCCAAAGGGAGUAAUAAAGCAGUAUUCAUGGUAAAUUGGUAGUGGAUAGUGAAGUUCCAACACUUCAUUACUUCUGUGAUUGAUAUCCAAUUUUUCAAUGAUAAAACCAUGAGUAUUUGAUUGCAAAAAAAUUGUGCUACUGUAGUGCUGUAAUGUUGUUUCCACCGUUGUCACAUUGUGGCCAUAACACCACUAUGGUGCGGCAUUAAUAGGACAGCUGCCACUCAAGGGUCAUCACUUUGCAGCUUCUUUUAUGGUGGACAGUGCAGUAACGACAAAAAAGAGUGAGUAGUAUGACCCACACAAUAACUCCAAAAAGGUGAGUAGCAUGUCCCGAUUCAGAAACAGAUUCAAUGCAGUAAAAAAUUCUUUCAAAUCGGUCAAUCUUCACAUCUUGAUUUUGGCGAAUCGAAACCAGAAAUCUCAACCUCUGGUCUUUGUCAAUGGCUCAGAUUUGACUGUAGUGACUGCUGACUUCAUCAAAUCCAUUUCCCUUAGAAACUAAGUGCUCAUGAGUGAAAAAAUAAAGCCUACAUCCAAAGCUGUAGCCUCAUACAUUGCUUUCUGCCUUUAUCACACUCUAGACUCUCUGUCAUCUCUCUCUGUUCUGAACUCCUAUUUUCGAUGAUCGUCUAUGGCGAACAAUCAUCUUGUUUUCUUUUGCUCUUUGUUUCACAUCCUCUUGUCAUUGCAGUCAUUUUCCAAUGUUCUUGUCACAUUGUUAGCCUUUUAUUUAUUAUUUUCUGAAUUUGUUUGGUGUGUGGGUUGCUAAUGUGCUCCCACAAGAUUUAAGGAGUACAUUAGCAACAUACGCCUGUUUAUUUGGAGAAAAAACCAUUUAUUUUUCUAGAAGGUAAUUAAAUUUAUGGAUAUCAAUGUAAUUUCCAGAUUAAAUUUUCUAUACUCUUGCCUUUUUCUCCCUCUUUCAUUCAACUGAUCAGGUGGAUUUUUGGCUAGCUACCGUGAUCUGCUAUCCGCCAUUGGUCUCAGCCCUUUGCUUCAGAUCCUGCUAAUUCCAGCAACCGAUAAUAUUUCUUUGCCUAGACUGUCCUUUCCCCGCCAAUCCUGCACUUCUACUAGCAAGGUCCUGCUGGUGGUGUUUGGCUUUGUUUCAAUGGAAGCACCAUGCCUGCCUGCUCCCUUUUGCAGUCACCUGUUGUGGUAGCAUCUGCAUUCAUAGUCAAAUAGUCUUUGUCACCAUCCUAACAAUUACUACAGGCAAAAUAACUACCAUUUGGUUGGCAGGCCUUCUGUUUAUGCUAAAUCCUAUCAACCGAUAGCUAUUUUCAGCCAAGACUGCCCGUUUCCAAAGCCCAUUAUUUUACCUGCCAUGGUUGUUCGGCUUUAUUUUGUUGGCAACUUUCUUUCUAGAUUUGCACUUUUUUUCUAUUAUCACUGUGGAAUAUCCUUCUGUUUUUAUGGUAUUGAUUUUUAAUAAUUUUUAUAUGCUUUUUUUUGGCAUAAGCUUUUAAAACUUGUUAUCGGUAAAUUAAAUUUUUCAAUAAUGUUUUUUUCUUUUCUUCUGGCAUUGACAAUGGUUUCCUACAUCAACAUUUUUUCAUUUGCUUGUUUGGAUAUGCUUACAAGUUUGUUGUAAGUAAUUUUAAGAUGUUUGUAAGACAUUGACUAAUAUGAAGAUUAUUGAGUAUUGAUACUUUGUGGUAUAAAAUUUUAAAACAUAGGGUUAUUUAUUGAGUUUAAAGGUAAAUGUCAAAGUACUUUUAUGGGUUUUGAACUUUAUUGUGUGUAUUAUAAACUAAUUUUAUUGUAUCAGUCGUCUAUCACAUAGUAGUUACUCUUCAAUUUGCUAUACCGCUAUAAUAUUUUUGGGGUUGGCUGUUUCAUAAUGUUCUUUGGGAUUGGCUGCUAUGAAUAAACCUAUAUAUAUCUUGAAACAAUAUCUUAAUAUAAUCAUGUUCCUGAUUUUACUUUUUACUGGUUGUAAUUUUUUUCUAGAUCUAUUGGAGACGCGAGCCUUUGCAAGCAAAUGUUUGAGGAGUAUGUUGCACAACUGAGAGAGGAGGCAAAGGAGAAUGAGCGGAAACGGAAAGAGGAAAGGGUAUGGAUUCUGCUCAUUUCAUCCAUAUUUGAGAAUUGAGAUUUAUGCUUCUCAUUCAUUAUCUUUUUAACAUGAAAUACACACAAUAUUUAUAUGAAGUGCAAAUUCAUUGUGGAUAAUCAGCCAGCUUGUCCAUUGCUUUCUAAUUACAAUGACUACAAAAACUAUUUUCUUUAUUAAGACCAAUUUAUGCAUUUUCUGUCUCGACAUCUUAAUUUUUGCUGAAUAUCUUUUACUUUCAAGGCGUCAAAUUUUUCUAUUAAUGCAUACUUGUUAGUAUAUUUUGCAGUGUUUGUAUUAUCUAUGGUAAAAAAAAAAGGCUUUCAAUUUGUAGCUAAUAAUUUCAUAAAUAUAAUAUUGUGCAGGCAAAGAAGGAUAAAGAUAGGGAGGAAAGAGAAAGAAGGAAAUCGAAGCAAAGAAGGGAAAAAGAGGGAGGGCGUGAAAGAUGGAAAGAGGAGACACAUAAGAGGGAUAGAACAGACAGUGACGGUCUGGACUUUAAUGAGAUCCAAACGUCCAAAGAAAACAGAAGGAGUGACGAUGACAACAGAAAACAACGGAAGCAGCAUCAAAGUCCGGAAGAAACUGAUAAAGAGAGGACUAAGAAAUCUCACGGUCACAGUAGCGACCGCAAGAAAUCCAGACGGGUAUGCAGAUUAAUCACUUUGCUGUUUUUCACCAAUGUUCAUUUUUUUUGUUUUGUCUGAAAUCAAUUAGGGUUUCACUGAUUGAUUAUGUUUAUAUUUAUUGUUCUGGGAUAAAUGGAGCAGCAUGGUUCUGGUCACGAAUCUGACGAAGGCCGGCACAAGAGACACAGGAGAGAGCACCGUGAUUCUCAUAGAGAAGGUGAGCUGCUUGAAGAUGGAGAAUUUGGUGGUGAUGUGGUUAUGGAUAGAUGGUAAUCAUCAUGUCUAUUAUAACUUCAGUGAGUACCUUCUGUUUAACUCAAUAUGUACUAAUUUGGAACAAAAUAUAAAUUAUCAAAAUAUAAUUUUUUUCCAGAUAACUUCCUUGUAUUGUGCAAUGUUUUACAUCGAAGAAUUUGGUUACUAGAAAGAAAGGUUAAGUUCUUUCAUGAGGCCAAGUUUGUGGCAACUAACAUUAGUAUAAUACCAUUUUUUAUUUUAAAAUAUACUCUUCACUACUAUCGAUAUUCUAAUUAAGUAAAAUGGGUAAAGUAUUUUAGUUCUUGUGGCCAUGGUAAAUGCUGCCUAUCCAAUUUUCCUGUUGGUGCAUGUUCAAUAUCAUUUUAGUUUAGCACAUAAUCAUUUUUUUGUUUGUCAUGUGCCUAUCCAGUGUUUCAAGUACAAACUGGAUUUAACAUGAACCGGAUUCGGGCUACUUCGUAUGGUUUGGGAUGUCACCAAUUUUGGGGACAUGUUAAGAAGUUAAGUUAUAUUUUUUGAUUGAAAAAUUCAACUAUUAAGAUUUAAGUAAGGUCAGUUUAUUAUAUUAGUGGUAUAUAUUUUCAUUAAAAUUUUCAUAUAUUAAAUUAAAUAUUACUUUUACAUUUUAAUUUUUAAGAAUACACAUGUAUGUAUAAAAUAAAUAUAAUAUUUUCUUCACACCAAAAAGAGUAUGAAUGGUUUAAUAUUUAAUGCAUAUGUCAUCGUGCAAAUGGAUAAAAAAAUUAGAUGAAAAUGGGCUUGGUGAAUGCAUUACAUGUACAUUUCUUUAGAUUCAUUUUAAGAAAAGAAAAAAAAACUUUUUCUUUAGAUUCAUUUUAAGAAGAAAAAAAACUAUUUCUUUAGAUUCAUUAGUUGAUUUAUAUCUAAAGUGGUUUCUUCUCACGCCACCUAUAUUAUUAAAUACAUGUUUGAAUCGAUCAAUAAAAUAUACUUUAGGACUAAUAAAUCCGUACAAAAAAUUGGGCUCUUUUGAGAAAACAUGGGGUACAAAAAUUCACUAUGUCUAAAUAUCUGUAUUUAAGUCCAUUUAUAUUCACAUUUUUUUGAAGCCUAAUAUCAUCAAUACUGAUCUUUGACCAAAAAAAUAAUACUGGUCUUAUAUAAUGGAAGAACUUUUCCACUCCCAACAAUGACAAAUUAUUUAAUCUAAAAAUACACUUAGGACCCAAUUUGAGAGUUUAGGAGGACAUUGGAAAAAGGGUUCGAGGAUAAGAGAAACUGAAAGAAUGAUAGUCCACUAACUUGAAUACAAUUUUUUUAAAUAUGGUGAACUGAAAAAAUGUAUUGGAAGAGAAUUUUAGAAGAUUUAAAUGAAUUCUUUUAAUAUUUUUUUUAUCUCUUCAUAAAUAAUCUUAAAAUUGAAAUAUAUUAAUUAUAUGUAUUCUUUUAUCAAUUUUUAUAAAAACAAACUCAAAUAAAGUAGAAGAUUUAUCUUUCUUUCAAUUUUCUUUUCCCAAAACCCUUUUAUUUCAUGUAUGGUUUUUCAAAAGUGUGGGGUGAGAAAAGUUUGUCCAGUUAUAUAAUAAUCCAGCACGUUAAGGUUUCUAAAAAGUUUAACAAGCAUUUAAGGUUUCUAAAAGGGUUAACAAAGUCAACUGCAUUCAUAUUUAAAAUAUGGUCUUCCUGUUGACAAGAAACUCGUGAUGAAUUCACUUAUAUAAAAAGAAAAUAAACUUGUGGUGAUACAAAGAUAGAUACUGGGUUAGCUAGAUUGUCACUAGGAAUGCAAAAGCUGAAUAAUAAAUAGAAAAUUUCUUCCUUGCUUUCCGUUCUCAACUUUACUUUUGCUUCCUUUAAUUAAGUCAUCCAACCCCACCUACAGCAACCAUAUACCAAAUGCGAAAAUAACUGUCCACCAUUUGCAUCCUCUCAUUCACCUUUAGGCAUGCCAUAUAUUAUUUCAUGACCAACUUGAAAAAUCACUAUGAUCAAUUUUGCAUUGCAUAGUUGUUUACGCAUGUUCAUCCAUUCAUGAUUGUUUUGUCAUGAUUAAUAAUUAUUAAAUUCAAGUUAUGGCUAUUAUGCAAAUCUUUCUUAAUCUUGAAAGAAACAAAAUUAAAUUAUUAACUAUAAUCAAACGCCUAUGCAUAACACGAGCAAUAUUUUUUUUGUUCUUCUAAGGUUAUAUUUGAUAUCAUGGUGGUUCACUAUAAUUAUGAAAAACUAUUAUCAACAUGCAUAGGGGAUGAUUUCUUAACAUUGACUCAAAUUAAUUAAAUUCACUUCUAUAUUAGUAAGAGAAUACAUCAACACUUUAGUUCUCAAGAAUGCAAUAAAACUAUUUUGAAGAAAAAUAUUGAGUUAAAUAAGUUUUUUAUUUUUUUAUAAAACUUUAAAGUUUUUAUUUUAGUCUCUAUAAAAAAAAUCAUAUUUUUUAGUCUUUACAAAAUUAUUAUGCAAAUAAUUUUAAUCUAUUUCGAAGUCUAUAUUUUUAAUAUUCUUAUCUUGAACAUAUGACAUUUAAAAAAAUUAUAUUUGAAUGAUUCCAAUUUAAAAAAAAUAUAAAUUUGUGUGGAUGAAUUUUUAAUAAUGUUCUAAACAUGCUUGCAAAAAUCAUUCUAAAAUUUAAAAGUUGAAUGAUGUUUCUUUUUAGGCAGGACUAAGCACAACUUGUAAAAUAAUUUUGUAGAGACUACAAAAUGUGAUCUUUUUAUAGAGACUAAAAAAUAAAAUUUUAUAAAGACUAAAAAUUUAUUUAACUCAAAAAUAUUUGAUAGAGUAAUAUUGUGAUAUGUUAAUCUUUAAAAGAUCAAUUUUAAAGUUUUCCUCUUUAUAUUAUGUUAGAAUUUCAUUUUUUUAAAUCUCAAUCAACUUAUAUUGAGUCUGUUUGUUUAAUUUUUUAUUUAAAUAAUUUGUAUAGCAUUAUAUCUUUUUGUUAUAAUAUUUUUUUUAAAAAAAUAAAAAUAAAGCUUUAAAUGAAAAAUUGGUUUAAAUAGUUCAUUUUAAAAUAUGAUUUUAAGUAUUUCAUUUAUUUUCUCCAAUUUUUUUUGGAUAGUAAAAUUUUAAAAAAUAAUUAAAAUAAAAAACUAUUUUGAAAAGCUCUUCAUAAAAAUCAUUUUUGAAAUAUAUUUUUUUCUUAAAAAAAUGUGAUUUUUAUCAUGUUAAAAUCUCUAAUAAUAAAUAUCUAAAUGUCAAUAUUUUUUUUAAUUGAUAACAAAUAAAUCAAAAAAAUUAUACCAUUUUUAAAUAAAUUUCUAUAAAAAUAAUUUUUAAAAAUAUAAAAUCAAAAUCACUUUUUUAAAAUCUUAAACAACGCACUUAUUAUAUUCCAAAGGAAAUCUCUGACCAAUGUUUUUGUUCACGUUGCAGAUAUUGGUUGGUCUAGUUGGUAAAAUUUUAACUAUAUUUUAUUAAGAUUUAAGUUCGAAUUUUGUUCUUAUUGUGAGCACUCACUUGGUACUUGGUAGAUUAUAUGUAAGAAUGUUUCUAAUAAGUCUUAGAAUCCAACUCACAUAAAUUUAUUUAUCAAAAAAAAAAAAAUGUUUAUGUUAAAAGUAUUAUUUUUUUUUCACAAUAUUAUAGGACCUAAGCAAAGCAUAUAUCCUAAUUUUUAAAAAUAAAUUAAAUUAAAAUGAAAUUUUUACGUUUUCUUAAUAUGCUUUAAUAACUUUUUUUGUCCUUAUAAUUAUAAAAAAUUAAGAUGGAAUAAAUUAAACUAUAUACAAAUAAAAACUCUCAAUAUUCUUAUCCCAGUUUCUCGUAGCAAAUAAACCAUAAUCAUUGUCAUAAAUUUAAGAAGUUAUGCUGAAUGACAAUAUUAAUGUGUAUAUUACUGUAUAUUUUUUUAUGAAAAAUAUAUAUAUUGAAUUUUUUAAUUUAUAUUCAAUAUCAGAUCAUAUAACUAUUGAAUGACAUAUAUAAAUGAUUAAUUUCUAUCCGCUAGUUUUGCCAACCAGCUUCAAUAAUUAAGUUCGUGUAUAAAAAACAUAGUUUCGUGUAUAUCUUUGUACUUACGCUUUUAAACAGUACCAGUACAUGAUAACAUGGUCGAUUCCAUGGUUGACCAAAAAAAUAUGGUCGAGUCCACGUAUUAAACUAAACAUAUGAAAAAGCUCCACCACAAUAAUCUUGUGAUUUUCUGCGUGAGAAUUUAUAUGCAUCCUUCAUUUAUUCGUCAAAAGAAAAUUAUAUGCAUCCUUCGUUUUUCUUUUGAAAAGUUUGGGAAUAUGUACGUGAGACAUGCGACUCUAUCACUAAUUUAUUAAUUACUUAUGCACCAUCAUUUUAAAAUAUGAUUUUAAGUAUUUCAUUUAUUUUCUCCAAUUUUUUUUGGAUAGUAAAAUUUUAAAAAAUAAUUAAAAUAAAAAACUAUUUUGAAAAGCUCUUCAUAAAAAUCAUUUUUGAAAUAUAUUUUUUUCUUAAAAAAAUGUGAUUUUUAUCAUGUUAAAAUCUCUAAUAAUAAAUAUCUAAAUGUCAAUAUUUUUUUUAAUUGAUAACAAAUAAAUCAAAAAAAUUAUACCAUUUUUAAAUAAAUUUCUAUAAAAAUAAUUUUUAAAAAUAUAAAAUCAAAAUCACUUUUUUAAAAUCUUAAACAACGCACUUAUUAUAUUCCAAAGGAAAUCUCUGACCAAUGUUUUUGUUCACGUUGCAGAUAUUGGUUGGUCUAGUUGGUAAAAUUUUAACUAUAUUUUAUUAAGAUUUAAGUUCGAAUUUUGUUCUUAUUGUGAGCACUCACUUGGUACUUGGUAGAUUAUAUGUAAGAAUGUUUCUAAUAAGUCUUAGAAUCCAACUCACAUAAAUUUAUUUAUCAAAAAAAAAAAAAUGUUUAUGUUAAAAGUAUUAUUUUUUUUUCACAAUAUUAUAGGACCUAAGCAAAGCAUAUAUCCUAAUUUUUAAAAAUAAAUUAAAUUAAAAUGAAAUUUUUACGUUUUCUUAAUAUGCUUUAAUAACUUUUUUUGUCCUUAUAAUUAUAAAAAAUUAAGAUGGAAUAAAUUAAACUAUAUACAAAUAAAAACUCUCAAUAUUCUUAUCCCAGUUUCUCGUAGCAAAUAAACCAUAAUCAUUGUCAUAAAUUUAAGAAGUUAUGCUGAAUGACAAUAUUAAUGUGUAUAUUACUGUAUAUUUUUUUAUGAAAAAUAUAUAUAUUGAAUUUUUUAAUUUAUAUUCAAUAUCAGAUCAUAUAACUAUUGAAUGACAUAUAUAAAUGAUUAAUUUCUAUCCGCUAGUUUUGCCAACCAGCUUCAAUAAUUAAGUUCGUGUAUAAAAAACAUAGUUUCGUGUAUAUCUUUGUACUUACGCUUUUAAACAGUACCAGUACAUGAUAACAUGGUCGAUUCCAUGGUUGACCAAAAAAAUAUGGUCGAGUCCACGUAUUAAACUAAACAUAUGAAAAAGCUCCACCACAAUAAUCUUGUGAUUUUCUGCGUGAGAAUUUAUAUGCAUCCUUCAUUUAUUCGUCAAAAGAAAAUUAUAUGCAUCCUUCGUUUUUCUUUUGAAAAGUUUGGGAAUAUGUACGUGAGACAUGCGACUCUAUCACUAAUUUAUUAAUUACUUAUGCACCAAUGAGAAUCUAAGUUUUGGAAUAUCUACUUUCACACUUAUUAAGAGAAAUGCUUAUAUUUAAUUUUCUUGAUUGUAUAUCAAACUCACAAAAUACCAGUGCAUUUGUCCAGAUUGUGUGGUUGAUUUAUAUAAAAUCGAUGUUAUUUAUAUAAUUUAAAGUGAAGUAAAUAAAACUUUAGUAUAAUUACAGAGAUAAAAUUUAUUAAAUUUUUAAUUUCAUAAUAAGUGAUAAUGUCUAUAUCAUAUAGGAUAGAUAUUUUAAAAAAAUUAAGUGAAAUUUUAUUUUAUGUAUAAUAUUUAUUUCAUAUUAUUGAUAAUCUAUCGUAUGAUAUGAUAGUUAUUUUAAAAUUUGUUCUAAAAAAAAUAUGUUCUUUGUAGAUAGACUAAUUAAUUUUAAAAUUUUUUAAUAAGUUGUUGUUAAUGAAUCAAAGAUAAAUUUUUUGAAGUUGUGCAUCAAAUAAAUUGAAUUUUCAAAAGUGAUAUUUUCUAUUGUAAAACUUUUUAUUUAUUUAUUUAUUUAUUUAUUUAUUUAUUAUUUAACAAGUAUUUUUUAAGAUACUUAUAAACAUGACUCAUUAUCUCUAUUCACUUAUUUAUCUAUUUGCAAUAAAUUUUAACUAUUUAUUAUUUCAAUUCACUCAUUUAUCUCCCUGCCAUAAAUUUGUAGGUAUAAUUUUGUACUCCCUAACAAAGCACUAUCUAUAUAAAGGGUCCCAUAGUCCUAUUCUUGCUGCAUCGGAAAGUAAUUGGCAAUUAUAGAAAGCAAAGAGUUAAUUAAAUGUUGUCUAAGGCCAGAACCCCCCUUUGCUUGCUAGUGUUCUUCUUCCUCUUCUUAACCUUCACAUAUGCAGCAAGACUUGCUCCUGUAUCUUCCCCUAUCAUUUCAACCAAUACUCAACAUGAAGUGAGUACCUUCCGUUUAUAUUAUAUUAUAUUAUAUUUUCACUUUCGAAUUGAAGAAUUGCUCAAGUAAUACUCGAGUUCAAUUUUUGACUGAAACAACUAUUGAUCAAAUUUUAAACCCAUUUCGCUUGACUAAAAAAUAUUGUAUUUCUCUUUUUUAUUGUUCAAUUAAUAAUCUUCUUCUACUAUGUGUUAAUUGAAGGUCUUGGAAGAUGUGAAGGUCGACAUAGAGGAGAAUUGUGAGGAUAUUAGUGAAGAUGAUUGUUUGAUGAGAAGAACACUUGUAGCUCACACGGAUUAUAUCUAUACGCAGAAGCAAAAACCAUAGAUCCAAAUAUGGUUUUCUACACUUUGUUGUUGUAAUUUUAUUUUUAUGUAUAAGCUAUAGUUUUCAUAUGUAAAUUAAUUUUGACAUUUGAAGAGUUAGUUCACUCAGUUGUUGCGGACAGAAGAAUAUUAAAUAUGUAUUAACAUGUGUGUUUCUUUUUAUUUCAUAGUGUAAUAUGUAUACUAAUCUUGGUAGAUAAAUAUUUUGAUAUAUUUUAAUUUAUAGGAGUACAUAAUUAUGGAGUUCUUUUGUUUGAUAUAUUUUUUGGGGGUGGGGUUAUAGCAAUGCUUCCAGUUCGAUUGGUCAUAUCAAAGUAUAAGCUGUAAAGUUUCUAACUUGUUUGGCACAUAACCAACAAAAUGGACCCAAAGUCACUUGGUUACCAAAGUGAAAAAUAACUUUUGCAGGAGAAACAGGGAAAAGCUUAAAAUUUUAGAUUCUUCGCGUUCACGUUUUAUGAUGUUUCUUAGUUUUCCAUCGAUCUUAUAAUGUUUUGUUGUAUUUAAAUAACACAACUCAUAUAUUAUACACUCUUUAUAUCACUUUUAGUGACGGAUUCAUCUUAUGAUAAUUGGGACAGCUGCCCCCACUAUUUUUUUUUAUUUAAAAUUAUUACUUUUUGUUUAAUUUUCUAUUCCCAUUAAAAAAACUAAUUAUUGUUCCCACUUAAAAAAUAAUUAAAUCAUUUUAUUUGUGAAAAAAAAAUCAAAUAUACAAAUUUCUGAGAGAUAAUGUGUUGAAGAAUUGUUUGGUUUUGUACAUAGAGAAAAAUAUUUUUUUUAGUAUUUUUCAUAGUAAUGAAAGUGAAAAAUUGAUUUCAAUUUUCGAAGACACAAACAACUCUAAUAUGUAGAUAGUGAGGUGUCUUCAAUUUUUAAUUUAUAACGAUGAUAUUCUUAUUUUUGUAUGCAUUGGUGUAUUUUUUUAUAUAUAAAUAUUUAUAAUAUAUAAUUUUGUCUCUACCAAUUAAAAUGUCUGGAUCUGUCACUAAUCACAUCACAAAUAUAUCUUAGGUGUUACAUAAUUUUGUCUGUUUCCUUUUCAUUUUGGUGAAUGGGGUAUACAAAAUAUUUUCCAUAUAAUAAUGUCAAAAAAUGUUGGCCUAGAAGCAUGAUUUUGUUUGGCUAUAAAUGGUGGCGUGUCUUUUGGCUGACUCUGAAUCACUUUCAUAAAAUUAAAUUAAAAGAAUCCUUACUUAUUUUUUUAUUUUUUUUCAUGAGUGGAUUAAUUCGUUUGAGAAAAAUCUAAAUGAAGAACCUAACAAUAGAAGCUUCUGCAUGUGUGGAUUUGUAUUUUCUAUGGCACCUGGGUGACUUUUUUUGCCGUUGGGUUUUGAAAAUUCUUAUUCCAGUUAUUACUACUUUGACUUGGAAACCAGGUAGUAUUACUUGUGUGCUAAAUGCUAAUUAUCCACAAAUUUUAAUGUUUAAUUCAACUCAAAAUAUUGCUUAUAAAGUACACAUGUAGUUAGAGUUGAGAUGGGCUUAUACAAUCCAAAAUCUAUAAGGAUUUAAUUUAAGUGGUUGUUAAUAAACUCCCAAUAUUUAUAUAAAAAAUAUUAUUGAAAAUAAAACUUUAGGAAAAUUAUUAAUCUCAUUUUUCAGCUGAUCUGGCUUUAAUUUAACAUCGAUUUGUGGAUGGGCCUUACUCAAGUCAUGGCCCAUUAUGGGGGGUUUUCCCGCCAUAAGCUGCAAUUGCAAAACCGUUUCAUUUUCAGAUGACGACGACGAGAACAAUCCCAAUUGAAAUCAAUUUGGUAACAAAAUUUCAAAUGUUGCAAACCCUAGUAGUACCCUCGAGCCUACGCUUCGCGAAUCGAAUAUUCCUCCGAAGAUUCACCAUUGUUCGUGCAUUCUCUUCCUCCUCCAACUAUGUAGAUCAGUCACGUGGUGGCCUCCCUCGAUUCUACUCCGAAACUCUUCCUGCUUCAAAGGCAUUCUCUUCCCCUAUCAAACUCUUAACUCUUCCGUCUUUAUCAACUGUUUCAUAUUGCCACAGAAUUGUAUUCUAAAUGACAUUUCUAUGAAAUCUCACUUGUAUUUUACUAAUGAGUGUAGCUUCAAUUUGGAAUAAAUUUCAUAUGAUAACGCUCCUUCAUAAUUGAGCUUGGUUUUAAGGAAAGUUCUUAAUUUGGGUUUUGUCAAGUCAGCGUAAUAAGGCGACGAAGAUAGUUAAUUUUGUGUGUGUCUUGCUGUUACUGUUUCAGGGUAAUGUUAUUCGUGUAAAAGGUGAUGAAUUCUGGCACAUGACAAAAGUGUUGAGGUUGUCAACCAAUGAUAGGUAAUCCUUAUUGAUUAUCACUGCUAAUGAUUCAUGCAUUAGAGAAGAUAAUUUGAUUUUUUUGUCUGUGACAAUUAAUUUGGUCCUUUCAAUUCAACUAUUGAUUAUAAAAUCAAGGGUGGGUAUUCAAGGUACAUCAUGAUCAUAUUAAGUCACAUGUUUGUUAAAAUAACUCUUGAUUUUCUCAUUUACACUUUACUCACUUUAGAAGAGCCAAAUUCAGAUUUCUUAUCGUUGAUUUCUAAUAAACAUAAAGGCAUUCAGGAAAUCACAGUAGAUUUCAAUGUAGAACAUCUUGAGCCUGCAAGUUUUGUAUGUCUGUAACUAAAUACUUAUUGUUAUAUAUAUGGAAAUGGGAAGGUGGAAGGAGAGUUUGCUUUGGCAGUUGAUCUUCAAUAAUUUCUGUCAAAUAUUUUGAUUUUUAUUGUCAUGGUUGUUUCUUAAGUCACAAUUUUCUCUGUUUUAAGUCUACAUAAGUAAAAUUAACGAUAAUUGUUGCCCAUAUUCAAGUCUGUGUAUCAGUAUUCCUGUGAACUUCUUGCACUGUGAUCUGGAUUUUUUUUUGUUUAUGAUCCAAAUUCUGCUGUUCAAGGGUACAGCUCUUCAAUGGGAAAGGUGGUUUGGUAGAAGGAUGCAUACAGAACAUUGACCGAACUGGACUUGAUUUUGUUGCAUCGACUGAUCUGAAGUUAGUGCCUCCACAGAAUUCACAAUGGCAUGUAUUUGCUGGUUUUGGUGAGUUCUUGUAGUUUUCUAACAAAAAUUACGUAUUAAUGUUGUUUGUUUUCUACACUUUAGUUUUUCCACCCAAAUUUUCACUUGUUGAGAAUCAUACAGGUACUCUGAAGGGUGGCCGUGCUGACUGGCUUGUAGAGAAGUGUACUGUAUGUUUCAAUAGCAUAUUGAAAGUUAUCUGGUUAGAUUACCGCAUGUAUAUGUUAUUGUUGUUUUUCUUCCGUUCAUGUUUAACUGCCAUAGGAACUUGGAGCCAGUAGUGUUACUCCUCUAUUGACUGAACGUUCUGCAUCAAUCUCAGAAAAUCGGGUGGACAGACUGGAACGUGUCAUUUUGGCAGCAUCUAAACAAUGUAACUACAUAUCCAUUUUUGCAUCUGAGGUCAUAGUAAUAUAAUUUGCUGCCAUCCUAGAGAACCACAAAUUGGUUCGCAAGUACCGGUUCAUGGAACUUUUACGUAUUGGUUCGCAGAAAUUCUUGCAUAAUUCGCAGAUAUCCAUGUAUCGGGAAAGCACUCCAGUUAAUUGAGCAUUAAGAUAGCCCAAUAACUGAUUAUUGGAACUAAAGCCUUAUACUGCAUUGUCAAAUGUUAUUCACUAAAAUUAUUAGCGAAUUAUACAGCUGUCCAACAAGAGCUUUACUCCUUGAUUGAUUAUUCCAAGAAAGCUUACCUCUGUAUUUAUAGCUAACUUGCCUCUGUAUAUUUGACAAAGGUUCCAAUAUGGGACUUAUGCUACCUCUCUUUCGGUGACAAUAGACACUUAUAUUUUCUUUUGUGACUUUUGUUGGGAUAUGGUUUUUAAAAUAAAUGUUUCUAAUUUUUCUUUCUCUUAUUGAUGAUAUUAAUAUUUUUCAUUAUUUAAUUUUUUGUUUUUAACUAAAUAAAUUUUUUUAUUUAUAGUCUACUGAUUAGUAUAUUAGAACGUACCACGAACCGAAUAGCGUACCGACUAUGUAUACCUCCAACGUGCCUAAUACUUUCAAGGUUGUGUACCGCGUACCUGAGCUCGUACCACGCACCGAAGAGAAUUGUGAACCAUGUGACUAUGGGCUAAACAUUUAUUUUGCUCCUUCUAGAAUUUUUUAGGCUAUUUUGACUGAAGUUUUAAAGUUGGUUCUAAAAUGAAAGACACUAUUUCAUUUUUUAUCGGUGAAUCUUAUAUUGUUGCCUCUCUGAUAGGUCAACGACUGCAUGAAAUGAUCCUAAAACCUCCUGUAGAGAUUGGUGAUCUUUUGCAUCUUGUAAGUGUUUCAUUCUUUCUACUUGGCAAGAAAUUCGGGCAUGAAUUGAAGUUAUUUGAGAAGAAAAUUAGCCAGUGCAUAGUAAUAACCUAUUACCUUCAUGAAUCCAUCUUAUUUACCAUUGAUAUGUUUGUCGCUUUCCUUUUUAUUUUUGGAAUUCUUUGAGUUAAACUAAGGAUUUGAUUACAUUGGUGUGACUGUUAGCAAUUUAAUAUAUGUGGCUACAUAGUCAAUUCAUGAAUUAUGCUCAUAGAAUUCCAACAUUUGUCUUCUGUGUUUAUAACUUGACCUGUUUUCUGUCACUUAGAUUGCGCAAUCAAAGCUAUCUCUUGUUGCAACAGCAGAAGCAACUCCUGUUCUUAAUGCAUUGACAUCAUUGGGAAAAGAAUGUAGCGGCUUAAUCAUAGUCGGGCCAGAAGGCGGUUAGUAUACUUAAUAAGUCUAAUUUCACUUUUUUGUUUCACCGCACGUGUGUGAUUGGCAAAUAAUUGUUGUGUUUUUAGGAAGGGCAUAAAUAUAUAAUUUUUUCCAGUCAAGGUUAAAUUGACGCUAGUCUAUGUUGUAUUGGAGGUCUGCAGAUUUCACAGAGAAAGAAGUGAAUAUGAUGAUGGAAGCAGGUGCUAAAGCUGUUGGUCUAGGGCCUCAUCGUCUUCGAGUUGAAACUGCCACGAUAGCAUUUCUGGCUACCGUCAUGUUAUGGUCUGACUCUCAACAAACUUCUGUCUCUUGACUCACCUGUUUAUGUAUGUCAAGUCAUGUAUGAUUGUGUUAAAGUAACACUAUAUAUUUUGUAUUUCUUGUCUGUUAGAUAUAAUUAUUCUAAAUUACAUUGGGGAUGAAAAUGACAUUUUUCUAUUUGAGUUGGGGAAAUGGAGAUAAUGCAUUGAAUGUUUUUAGGUCUUUGCCUUCUUUGAUUGAGAGGAUUCACCGUGCUUUUUAAUACUGUGGGUCAAUUGAUAAAAUUCAAACGUUGGUAAGACGUAAGAGAAUAACUUGAAGUUUCAUGUAAACCGAAUACCAUGUAUACAACUUGCAUAUUUGCAAAUUGUAUACAUGGACUGUGGAGGCAUUUUAGGGAUCCCCAUUAUCAUUCAAGGGCAAAGUCAUGCACCUUUCGAUAUUUUUUUAUCCUUUCAAAAUGAGCCUUAAUUCAUAAAAAUUUACUACUAUAAAGUCUUAUUGAGUAGAAGCAUAAGGGACAAUUGAAACAAAAAUAUCUCAUACAUAUCAACUGAUUUUGCAAUUAUAUCCCCACACAUUGUAUAGCAAAAUAGUCUAUUUUAACCAUAUAUAAGCCACUAAGACUAGUCUAAUAGUGAAGAAUUUAGGUAGAAGGUAUGAGGCCUUAGGUUCAAAGAGAUCUCCUGAUUUAAAUUAUCCUUAUUGCCUAGCAUAAUGUUAAUACAGAUAUGCUAUAGCUGUCUGGAAUGGUUAGCCCGUUGUAUGUUAUUAUAAAUUCCACGUGAUUAUUAGAAAAAUCAUUUAAUCUUUAGCACGAUGUUGUGUAUUUUUCGUAGUUGACAUUUUUUAUUCAUGUCGUGAAUUGCACAAAACUACCUUCUUUUUAUAUACACAUCAAGUCCCUGUAGCAUAUAAUCUUGAACGAAUAGUUGCAUUAUCAUAGAACCCUUAUACGUUCCUUUAUUUUUACACCUUCCUUUUUGUCACAAAUCUUCUGCCAAACCAAGCUAGACUUUCAAUUAAUUGUGGGGAUACUUAAGUUGAAGGUAAGAACCAUGACAAAGAAAACAACCAAGAAAAGUAAGUUUAAACACUUCAUAUUGGGCCCAAUAAGAAUUCUAAAGAAAGCAACGCAAUUUUACAUGAAAAGUAUUAUUGAAUGUGCUGGAGGGUAUGGUGUUGGAGCUGCCAAUCACAUUCCACACUUGCCUAAGCCUAACAUCAUCAACCACAAUGUGGAUAAAAGGAAUCAUGCAACGAGGCAAAGACAACAAGUUGUAAAGAUGGGGAAGAUUGACGAAGAUCAGCCAUGUCAUUUUGAGAACAAUAAUCAAAUUGGUUUGAAGACCAAUAUUUUGUAUAUAAGAAAGAGGGCCAGUGUUGUCAAAAAACCACCAGUGGAUCUUGAUUUGUGUUAAGAUUUGUUUUACUUUUGCUAUUAAAAAAAAUAUUUGUUUUGGUUGUAAUUUUUAACUUUUUUUUUUUUUUUACUUUAACUGUUAAAUUUAUUUACAUGGUUUUUACAUUGUUAUGGAUUUUUUUUUUUGACAAGCUGUUAUGGAUACUUUGAUAGUCAUUCAUACGUUAUCAACAAGCACUCGUGGGUUAUCCAAUUUUUUUCCUUUUUAAUUUUCAUUUUUGUGCUAAAUGUUCUAAUCUAGUGCUCAAUUUUUUUUACCGAUAAAUACAAAUUUUAUUCAUAACAGAAAUAUUACGUAAUAUGUAAAGAGGGAACAAAGAGAUAAACUUCAACCAAAAUCUAGGAGCGUAUUUUCCAAUCAAAUAAAGUUUUUCAUACAUUUUUCAGGUGUAUUAUGCUGAUUUAGCUGGAGCUACGACUCCGCGCUUAAUACCGAUGUAAUCUCUCUUUUUAGGCCUUUGCCCUCUUUUAUAUAUAUGUUUACCACAAAUUGUGCAAGGAGAAAAAACAAAGUUUUCCAAUCAAAGAGAGAAGUUUAUGAAUAAAUUUACAUAAAGUAAUGAGAUAAACAUAACAAUUAAUAUAAAAAUUGUGAAAGGAAAAAAACUAAUUUCUGAUUACUUGUUUUUCACAUUAUAAUACUUAUAAGUAAUGUUGACAAAUUCUUUUUUAUAAGCAAAUUCUUUUUUUAUUUAAUAAAUAGAUGUCUUAACUGAUUUUUUUUCUCCCACAAGUUUUUCAAUUAUGUGAUUUUCUCCAUUAGUUUCGAAUGAACGAUUUUAGCCUCUAAGGCUCCUAAUCGUGUGAUUUUAUCUCGUUUAUAUAUGAACUUUUUUAACCUUCAAUACUUUUUAAUUGUGCAAUUUUGCUCUCCUCUCACUUACUUUCAAAUGAGUGAUUUUAGUCCCAAAGUUUAUCCCCUUUCUGAUUUCAUAGUCCUCUACUCAUUUUUUUUAAUUGCCUAAGUAGGUGAAAAUUUUGAAGUACAUUUAAUGCACUUUUUAAAAAUCAAUAUGUAGAAAAAUAAUGAAUAAAAUAUUUUAUAAUAAAAAUAAUAAGUUUCAAAUAUGAUAAAAUAUAGAUAUUAAAAGAAGUUGCAAAUAAUAUUAAAAUGUUGACAUUAAAAAGAAAGUACAAAGUCCAAGUAAUUUAAUUUCAUUAUUUAUUUUAAAUACAAUGUACUUUUUUUAAAUUAGUAAUAAAUUUGGUCAAAAGAACUAGUGUGAUAAAUUUGAAAGACGACGAUGGUAAUAAUUAUAAAUAUUAAAAUCAUAAUUUAAAUUUAUUGUAAUUUUUAAUUUAAAUAUAUAGAACUAUAAAAAAAAUAAGUAAUUAAAUUUAAUUAUUACUUUUAUUUGAAACAAUUAACAUCAGGACAAUAUUUUUAAAUACCAUGUACGUUUCUUUUUAAAUUAGUAAUACAUUUAAAAUAACAUGACAAUAAUAUUUAAUUACUAUCAUUUAAAUAUAAUUCUUAAUUUAAUUAAAAUUGGUAAUUAAAUAUAUAAAAUAAAGAACUUGGUAUUCAAUAGUGUGAUACUCACUUCCUCUUUAAAUUUUGGUCAUUUUUGCACAUUGGAUACAUGUAUUAAAAAACAAUGUUGAUUAAGUUUUUUUUUUUAACAUUCAUUCAUUAAAUAAAAACAAAAUUUAUUUAAUACAUAUUUUGAGUUUUUAAGAGUAUAUAUAUAAAAAAAAACAUAAUUAAUUACAUAUAAGUUUUUUGAAGAAACCAAAAUUUUAAGGCACAAAUAAAAUGCUUAGACAAAAAAAAAGGGACAGAAGGAAUUAGUAUUUAUCAACAAAAAUAAUUUGGAUUUUGUUUAUUUGAUAGAAGAAGAAAUGCCAAAAAGAUGGAAACCGAGUUAGUUAUUAUAGUUAUUGUCAGCGUAUUUGAUGCAGUCUCGCGAUUUGGAAUUUUGGGGUAAAAAAACAGAAUAAGCAACCUUUUGAUUUUGGUAACCGAGUUAAAAUAAAAAUUGUUAUGUGAGUAAUAAAUUCACUAAAUCUAAAAAUGGUAAACUAUAUCCUUUGGGUGAAUGCAAUGAAUGAGGACAAUAAUAAAAGAAAGAAAAUAAAGUACAUAUAAAGUAUAGAGUGUACCCGCCUAGACGCUAGUAUAUGCAAUUUGUGGAGAAGAGAUGAUGAAUGAAGAAAGGAUGGGGAUGCGAAAAAUUGGUAGGAAAGGAAGUAUGGCAAGAACAUGGUUGGUGAUGUCCAUGGAGGGGAAGAGAGAGAUGGUCGAGGCUGGGAGACCAUUGAUAAUGCGAUGGACUGGGUUAACUGCCCGUGACCUUCGAGUCCUUGAUCCUUUGUUGUCAUACCCUUCCAUGAUUGUGGGGCGUGAGAGAGCAAUGGUUUUGAAUUUGGAGCAUAUAAAGGCUAUCAUCACUGCUCAUGAGGUUCUCUUGCUCAAUUCUACUGACCCUUCUGUCAUGCCUUUUGUUAAUCACCUUCAUUCACGGAUUCUUUAUCAACAUCUUCUUCAGGUUCUUUUUCUUAUUUUUCAUAUAAUUCACAACAACUAUAGCAAAACUAUUUCAUUUUGAGCAAUGCUCUUCUGUUUACAGGAAGAUCCAUAUGGAAAGGAUAAACGUGGAAUGACCAAGAACACUAUUCCAUUUGAGUUUGUGGUGUUAGAGGCAUGCCUUGAGGAGGUUAUUAGUUCCUUAGAAAAUGAGGUGUGUAUCUUCAGAUUCAAUUAUAAGCAAAUUCUAUUUCUUUUUUUUUUUUUUGAAAUAUUAUAUAAACAAGUAACAAUUACUCCUCCUUUAUUAAUGAUAAUAUCUAAAAAAUACUAACUUUUUUUUUCAAUAAAUCAAUCUAUUAGUUAUAAAAGGGUAAAUUAGAAAAUACAUAUAUUUUUCAAAUAUUAUGUUUUGUUAUUGUUGAUUUUUUUAUAUUAUGUUUUGUUAUUGUUAUGGUUUUUGUAGACAAAUAUAUUUGAACAGGAGGCUCAUCCAGCCUUGGAUAAGCUGACUUCAAAGAUUAGUACUGUCAAUUUGGAACGUGUUCGUCUUAUUAAGAGUCGAUUAGUUGCCUUAACUUCUCGUGUUCAAAGGGUUAGUUAGAAUUUUUCUCCUAUUACCAGUUUCUCUUUCAAAUUAUUACUUAUGUCAAAUUUCUAAUUCACUCACUGUGUAAUUAUUUCAAUUUGUCCUAUAUACUCUUGAAACUAUCUCACUGAAAUUAUAAAAAUAGUUUAUGAGAUAUCUAUAAAUUAUUUUAGUUUUAAUUUAUUUUUAUAAACUCUCUAAAAUAAUAUGUGAAAAUAACUUAUACCGUAUAUAAAAAUUGGUUGAUAAUAUUUAAUUAUUGUUGUAAAAAAAUAAUUUAUGCAUGAACAGUUGAUAUGUGUUUAUGUUAUAAACACUUAAUUAAAUUAUUUAUUUAUAUUGAUCAUAUGUUAAUUAGCGCGAAACAUAUAGGACAAUUUAGUUUUAUAUUACAAAUUUAAAUGCAAAUCUAUGGUGAUUUUGCAGGUAAGGGAUGAAUUAGAACACUUGUUGGAUGAUGAUGGAGAUAUGGCUGAGUUGUAUCUGACAGACAAAUUGGUUCAACAGAAGUUUGAAAAUUCUUCUACGGCCUCAUCCAUGAAUAAUAGUAUUAAUGGGUAUAAUGACAUGAUGAAUCGGAACAGGCAUUUAAUUUCAUUGUGAAUUUGAUCACAAUUAAUUAAUCAUGGUUGUUACCAUAACAACUUGUAUGCCUUACAUUUUUCAUUAUUUAAUUAGGACUCCUAAUGAAAUAACAUUGGAACAUGAAGAUGAUGAAAAUGAUGUUGACACAAAUAGAGGGGAAAUCUCUGGAACACAGGCUGGUAGUGUCUACAGUCAUGUAACCAAUGUUGAGGAGCUUGAAAUGAUCUUGGGAGCAUACUUUGUUCAAAUUGGUGGCACACUCAACAAACUAUUUGCGGUAUGCCGUAAUGUUCUAUGUAUCAGUAUCUGUAUUUUUGUAAAAUCACAGUGAUUCGGAUGAAUCUACCUUGAUACCAAACAGAACAGUGCUAACUAACACUUAAUAAUUAUUUGUUGGAUUGAAGCUGAGGGAAUAUGUUGAGGACACAGAGGACUACAUAGACAUAACAUUGGAUGACACACAGAACCGUAUUCUGCAAACAGGAGUGAAGAUAGGCACAGCAAGUGUUGUUUUGAAUAUGUUUAUUAAUGUGACAGGUAUUUUUGGAAUGAAUAUUCACAUUGGUCUAUAUGAUUAUGGUGGGAUGCCAGAGUUUAUUGGGGUAAUAUUCGGAUGCACUGCUGUUUGUAUAAUCUUAUAUGUGUUUGCAAUGGUUUGGUACAAGAAAAAACGCUUGCUGGAAUAGCACCUAAUUCUGUUUCAAAUAAAUAUGUACUACAAGGUUUAUGUUACAAACCAAAUUUUAUACAAGUUGGAUAACUUUGUUUUGACAAAAUUAGUUGGAUAUGCAGUCUUGAAGUUAAUCUAAACUAUUAUUCAUUAAGUAACUCUAUUGAACAUAAUUUGUAUAAACUGUUAGUUGGAUAAGUUUUUAAAUAUUUUUGUCUUACCCAAAAUUUGACAAUCAACUCUAUUGAACAUGAUUUGUCAAAAACAAGAAAACUAUUUAAUAUUUAUAAAAAAAAAUUAUUUAUCUUUUUUUAAUAGAAUAGUAAAAUUUAAAUCCGCAACUUAGAAUAUUUAAAAAAAAUGAUAUGAUAACAAAUGGAAUCACUCCAAACUAAGCCCUUUUAUUUUGAAAAAUUGGUUUGUUUCCAUUUAAAAUAAUAACAAUUUUUAGUUAUAAACUGUCACGUUAUUAUUUUAAAAAUUAGUCCAGUAAUACUAAAAAUUACUUUUUUAUAAUAUUUCCCGUACCAUCUCUGCAAAGAAGUUCAAAAAAACAUGUCAGGUUUUGUUAUUACAAAUGAAAAGAAAAAAAAAAACUGUAUGAAAUUAUAAUUUGGAGUGUACUUUGGUUUAAAAAUAAUAAUAAGAGUAAAACAAUAAAUUGGUCCCUCACAUUUUAGAUGUAAGUCAUUUUAAUCCGUAAAAAAUAAUAAUAAUUGUAAAAAAGGUUUUGGUAUUUGAUUACUUAGAAUGUUUUAGUCCCUAUACAUAUGGAGCAUAUUGUACUAGGCUAGCACCACAUCCACAUCUUCGUUAUCCAUUAGGGACUUGUAAACAAAACAAAGUUAGAGAUGAGUUCCUCCAUAGGGCAAAGCAUAUUAAUGGCACUAACAGUUACAGUUAACAAAUAUGCAUCAUCCAAUAUGCAUUUACAAGCAGUUCAUAAAAAACAAAGGCAAGCAACAAACUCAAACUUAAGCACCAACGCUGGAUUUGGAAGGAGAGGACUCGUCUUAUCCACAGUAAUUGCUGCCACUCAAGUCCCUGACUCUAGGACUCAACUUCUUCAAAGUAUGCAUAUUCUUUUUUCUUGUCACUUUAACAUUCUAAUUUGUAACUGAAAAAUAUGUUGUAAUGAAAUUGUUUAUCAGAAUAUCUGGAGAAAUCAGAGGAAAACAAGGACAAAAAUGACAAAGAGGUAAACAAAUUUUUUAGUUAAGAGUGUUUAUAGUGUAUGUCAAUGUUGUUAGAAAAUUAUUUAAUUUUGGAUGAGUUGGUUUAGCAGAGGCUGGAUAGUUAUUACAAGCGUAACUACAAAGAUUACUUUGAAUUCAUAGAAGGGAGUUUGAAGGGAAAGGAUGGGAAACUUUCAGAAGCAGAAAAGGGUAUUCUUGAUUGGCUUCAAACUAACAAGUGAUUUGUAUAUUGCUUUUCGUUAAUUGCAUUCUUUAUACAUUACUUAGGUUCACUAAUCGUAAUUUGGUAAAUGGUAAUCACACACGAAUUUUACAAGUGAUAUAUACUAAUUACAUGUGUUUGUGUGGAACAAAUUUCCAAACUACAAAUUUGAUUGGUGCUGUGGUUGUGUGUUAUAAAUUUGUAAAUAGUUCUUUCACUUCACAAAAUACAUAUUUUUUCUAUAAGUAUUGACAUUUUAGAGGCAAAAAAACAACAAGAAGUUGACUUCACUGUGAUGCAAAAUUCUGUUGAAAUAUUUCUAAAUCAUUUUUUAUUUUCUCUAAGGCAUGAAAGUUUUAUUAAAUAAAAUAUCAUUAAUUAUUACAUUAGGUAUAAUUCACUUUAAAGUUUUCAAAAUAUCUUAAAAGAGAUUAUGGAAUUUUUUCAUAUGCAUUCAGAUUGCAUAAAUUGAUGGGAGCAAAUCAAACUUAAAAUUUCAUGUGAUAUAUCCGAUUGAAAGUUAUUUGUGCACUUAUCUUUAUCUUCAAUCUUCUACUUUGUUCAAGUUUUUGAAAACACAAAAUCUAAUAUAUUAUAUUAUGGAUACUAAGAUUAUGCAAAAAUAUAUAACUAAUUAGACUGUAUUAAUAAACUAGACCGCAUUGCACUUGAAAAAUUCAAACCAAUUAAAUAAUCAUGAACUAAAUCGCAAAUUUAUAACACACUAAUUAACCAACUUUAAUAAAUAAAUAAAUAAAAAAUCGUUUAACCAUUUUAAAAUUAUUUUAACCAAAAUCAUCAUAAAAAAUAAAAAUAAUUGAAUUUGUCAAAAAAAUAAAUGUAAUUUUCAUUAAACCCUAGCCACAAAUCUCUUUCUCCCUCUAUUCAAGAAACUUUUUCGUUUUCAUUCUAAAAUUAAGUACAUGUUCAUAAUUCAUAAUUUCAGUUUAUGUUUUAAAAUUGGUAUUCUCGCGAUAUUUUUUCUUUACUCUUAUUCAAUUAACACUAUUUGUUUGCAAAGUAUUACGUUGUAUAUUUUUCUAUUAUAAAAAUAUUUAUUUAAGAAAUUAGUAAAUAAAUAGCUAAAUCUAUUUAUAUUUGGAUUUGAGCAAUUUAUUCUCAGUGUUAUUUUGAUCAAUUCCCCCAUUAACACCUGUUUAGCGUCAAGAAAUUUGAGAAAUGCAACAAAUUUAAAAACUAAAUAUACUGAAAUAUGUUGAAUUGUUUAAUGUACCGUAAGAAAUUCUCGUCUACUAAGAUGUGAAAGAAGAAUAAAUUAUGUCAACUAAACAUGUUAGUAAUAUGAAUAAGCUAAUCUAUGACGUCAGAAUAGAGUUUUUGAUGAAUCAACAAUAAGUUAAUUUAAAAUUUUAUUUUAUUUUGUCUUUUUAAUUAAAAUUUUUAUCCUCAAUUUGAGUUAGAUUAAAAACCAAUAGGAUAAGAUAAUAACAAUAGUUUACUCAAUUAUUUUUAUUAAAUAUAAUUUAAAAUAUAAAUUGAAAUAUAAUAAAAUAUAACUAUAAAAACAAUUUACAAAAUAUUAUCAAAAAUAUAAAUCUAAUCAAAUAGAAAAAUAAUUAAUAGAAUUUCAUAUUAAACUUAAAAAUAAAAUAUUAAUAAUUAAUUUAAAAAUGUUCAUGAUUUUACACAUAUAAUUUUGUCUUUUUAUAUACUUUAAUAAAUUAGUAUUCACAAUUAUAAAAAUAAAAAAGUUAAUUGAAAUUUUAAAAUAAAUAUAAUUUAUUUACAAGGUAUUCUUGUCAUUUACAUAUAAUAUAUAUCAUAUCUUUAUUUACAUUAUAAUAAAAUAUAAUUAUUUAAUUACAAAUAUUGUUUUUAAAAUUAAAAUUAUUUAUUUAGUAGUAUCAAUGGAUAGUUUUAAUAUAAAUUACUUCAUUAUUUAUUUAAUUUUGUUGUUAAUUUAUAAUAUUUAAAAUAUAAUAAGUUAAUUUUAAAAAAACUAAUAUGUAAUUGUUCACAAUCGUAAUUUUGUUAUUUAACUCUAAUAUAUAUUAUGUAAUAACUUGAUGAGAUGUAUAUCAAAUACUUAAUAAAAUAAAAUAUUAUCAUGAUAAUGUUUAUCAUGUCACUAUCUUAUCAUAUAUUAAUUUAUUUUUAUCUAGGUUUGUAUUCAAUCAUGUCUUUCUUUAUAUGUCCGACCUUUAUGUUGCAUGUAAUUAGAGUUAUCAAAUAAACUCAAAAUUCUUAAAUCUUAAUUUCAUAAGUGGUCUCUUAAUUAUUUUAUUGAGAAAAUUAUUUUUUUUGGAGAAAUUUAUUUUUUGACAUUUUUCAGACAAAAGUAAUUAUAUUUUGUCUAUAAAAAUUUGAAAAAUAUUUGUUUCCUAAAAAAAUCAUGUAUUUUUUGUGGAAAAAAAAAAAUUGGUAUAAAGUUGGGCCUAUGAACCCAUUUUGUCCACAAGAUUAUUGGACUUUUUUGUUUCUAGAGCUUUCUAAGUAAAGUAUUUUUAGAAUUUUCUAUUCGUCAACUUCAUCUAUACUUCUCACCUUUCAUUAUAUUUAAAAAGAUUAUUUUAUUUUUUUUAUAAUAUAUAAAAAGUUAAUUUUUUUUCUUUUCACUCACACAUUCGAAAUUUUAAUAAAAAUUAUUAUAAAAUUUUUAAAGCUUUGGUUGAUUAUAAAAUUUUGGAAAUACAAAAUAAGUUUACUUUCGAAAGUUUAGAAUUUUACCAAAAUUUUUAAAAUGUAAAUUUUGUUUCAAAAUAAUUACAUUAUUUUUUUUUAUAGAAUUUUCUAUUUUCUAUUCUAGAAUUUCCAAUUUCUAUUUUGGAAUUUCUUAUUUUGAAAAAAUUCUAUUCUAAAAUUUUAAAUUUCAAAAAUAUUAAUUAAUUUUCUAAACUUUGAAAUUUCCUAUUUCAGAUAUUUCAUAUUGUUUGAAACUUUUGAAAUUUUUUUAAAAAACGGGAAAUUAAGUUUUUCAUGUUUGAAAUUAAUCCAAAAAAAAUUGAAAGUUUGAAUUAAAAAGUAUAAUAUUAAAAAUAAUUUUUAAAAAGGAGUAGUUCAAACAAAUUUUUUAGUUUUUAAAUUUUAAAAUAUUAAAAUAGAAUUUUUGAUAUCUGAAUCAAACAAGCCCUAAAUUUUUCAUGUUUGAAAUUAAUCAAAAAAAAUUAAAAGUUUGAAUUAAUUUGAAAUUUUCCAAUCAACCUUUAACAAGAGUUUCAGAACUAAAAAAUUCAAAAUAUAAUUUUUUCGAAAAUGAUGAAUGUUUAUAAUUUUAGUUAAAUUUUCAAAAUAGUGAAAUUACUUUUUGAAAUUUUCUAUUUUAAAAAUUUCCUAUUUUAUUUUAAAAAUAUCUAAAUUCCUGAAAUUUUAUUUUUCAAAAAUUUUCUAUUUUUAUAUAUAGAUACGGAUGUCAAGUAGAAAACUCGUUUUUUUAACUAUAAAGUUUUUUUUUUUAGCCACUUUAACAUAUGAGCCCUGAUCAAUAAAACUUGUAAUUAUUUUAAGACUUAGACAGAAUUGGAUUUAACUUUAAUUAGGAUUACACUUGUUAAACAGAUUAUGUGUACUAACUCUGACAACAUAAUAGUUCACAACUGCUUGAUCUUAAUCAAGAUAAUUUGAAUGUGUAUUAUGAGCAAUCCGACAUCAAAUUAAUAUUAGAAUUAUUCCUGCGUGUAAAUAUAUGAUAUUACAAAUUAGGAUUUUUUGUGUGUGUGAGGUAAUGAGUUAGUAAGUAAAUGACAGUGAUGAAGUAAUAAUGUCUAGAACAUUCAUUUCCUUGACAUAGAGCCUGAAAAUGUUGUCAAGGGAAUUGGAGACAUCCAAACUAAAAUGGCAAUGGUCGCUUAAAUAGGAGAUCAGAUAAUAGACAAGUUACAAUUACAUUUGGUUUGGGCGGUGGUUGGAAGGACAAUAUUGUUUCUCCCACUCCCUUUUAUUAUUUUUAUUUUUAUGGACUGCACCAGACAAUUACUAUAUCAUACUGUCUUUUCAAUUAAAAAAUUUAUUAGUAAUAUAUUACAGUUACUCCAAAGACACGUAUUCAAAAAAUAAUUUUCAAUUUCAGAAAUUGAAUGCAUUUUUAAGAAAACAUUUUUAUAUUUAAUUACUUUAGGAGUUGUUUGCUCGUUUGGUUUCCUAAUUUGGUUAACCGUUCUUUAUUACUUAGUCAUUUUUUAAUUUUAAUUUGUUAAGAAUUUUAUUGUCAAACUUGUUAGAGUUGUUUGGAAAAUUUUAUGCUUUAGGAAUAAAAUUUGGAAUUGUAAAAGAAAAUAGAGUUUAAAAUUAUAUAUAUAAUUUUAAUUUUUUUACUAUAAUUUGUAUUAGUCAAAACAGUUUAAAUUUAUAUCUCUUUUUUUUUUUUAUUGUUUUAGAAUUUUAUAAAAUAAUUAAAUAUUCUUUUUAAAAAAAUGUAAUGGUAUUGAAGUGUAUGAAUUGUAACAUAUUUUAGAAAGAGUAUAUGUUAUAAUGUUAUAAUAAUUUUUAUAUAUUUUCAUUUUAGUCGUAGUUUUUCUAAAAAUUUAGAACUUCUACAUUAUUUUUUUGUUUUAAUUUUUAUAUAAGUUCUUUAAUUUUUUAUUUUCUCAAGAAAACUUUAGAUUAUGUAUGAGAAAACACGUGGGCAGGGAUUAUAAAUUUAGUUACCCUAAACUCUGAAUGGUCAUGUAUUUUCUUUAGCCUUUUCAACCAUUUUGGACUGGCAGAAGGUGUUAUUAUUAUUAUUUAAUUAAACAAAAACUGAGUCAGAAUAAGUAAAGGAAUAAAAUAAAGAAAAUGAAAGGCACGAUUGUGUAUGACAAGUCCUGUGAGACAGCUUCCAAGCAGACAGGUUUGGAGGGAACAAAACUACAUAAACAAACAUUUACAUCAUCAUAUCAUUUCAUAUUUUAAAAGAGGAUCCUUCCAAAAGAGAUAAUGUUGACAAACUAAACGAAAUGGGUCAUUUAACGCAUGUUCCUUUGGGCCACGAAUAUCUCACCCAGGAUUUCCUCAGCUUCAAACAGAUAUCAAGAGGAAAAUAAAUUGCUUAUACUACGCAUUUAUUCAUCUCAAAUUAGUACUCAACAUAUUUACUAUGCAACUACAUGAUUAUCAGUCCUUUUGUUACAUUUUUUUUCAUACAAAAUCACUUUUGAAUUUUUUUAUAUAUUUAUUACAACUUUAAAAAAAAAUUAGAAUAUGAAAAUAAUCUAAAAAUUACUUCAAAAUAAUCCAUCCUUGAAAGAGAUGCAUAUGAAACAUAUUGCAACUUCAAAAUUGGCAUUUCCUCCUUAUGAGACUAAACCUUACUUAUUGAGUGAAUUGGAAAUGCUGGAAUUUUCAGAAAACGGAGCCUUGUCUGGACUCUUACAAACACUAAUAAAGGCCUUGUCCAAUUGUGUUUUUUAAGGAGUAAUUGAAAUUUGAAACUUUUCUUUUCUUAAAUUUAUAAUCACUGUUGCUAGUACUAAAUAUAAACAAGCGAAAAUUAAAAUUAAGAAUAAUUAAAGAUCCACAAGUAAACAAAAAGUCAUCCUACUUAAUCAAUGUUGGAUCACAUUGCCUUUAUCUGAAUUAUUUUAUCUAUAAAUCCAGUAUCAAUACAUUUGUCGGCAGCACAUUAUUUUUGUCUUGCUUUAUAAAAAAGAAUUAAAAUACAUUUAUGAAAGAAAAACAUACAAAUUAUCCAAUUGGCCACUUCUAUAGAUUUUGUUUGUGAGCGUGCAUAUGAAAAAUAAUCGAUAAAUUAAACAGGAAGAUUUAGAAGUAAUAGAUUAUAUACACCAUGAUUUCAGUAUCUACUAAAAAAAUGUAUAAUCCAAAAUCAGGUGCACAGCUAGCACAGAUUUUGAAUGUGGACACAAUUUAAUUUAAAGUUAACUUCUCAAACAUCAAUUUUAAACUGUAAUUGUUAAUUACGUUGCAAAUUUUUAUAUUACGUAAAAUAUUAUUUAAAUUGUGAUUAUAACAUUGUUGUAACAAAUUUAAUAUUUAAAAUAAUAUUUUCAAUUAUUAAAAUUAUUUGCUUAUAUAAGAAAAAAUCAAAUUAACUAGUAAGUUCUUAAUUAGCAUUUAUUUGUUUGCAAGAAUUACUGGUACUGCAUCAAAAUAACAAGGAGUAGUUAACAUACUUAUACAAAAUCUAACUUACUAAUUUAGCUUCUAAUCGUGAUUCACUAACAAGAAAAUAAAAUUUUGUAAAGCAAAAAAAAAUAAAAUGACUAACAUGCCCUUUCAGGUUGUUUCCCAUUGCAUUGACAAAAGUAAAAAGAGAAAAAGAAGCAUUAAAUUCCUUUUACACCAUAAUAACUCUCUUUCCAUUAAUCUUGAAUAAUUCCACUGCAACAUCUUCAAUAGCAGAGGCAGCCAUUAAUAAAACUAACAUCUUCUUCCCCUCAUUCCCAUUCCUUUCCCUCCAUACCAUCUGUUAAAAAAAAAUUGAAAAUCAUUCAACAUAACACAUUAAAAAAAAAUUAUAACAAUGCACAAAAGAAGAUUAACUUUUUCUUUUUGGAAAUUCAAAAGAAGAUUAACUUACUUGUUGCCUUGAAUUUCAUUUUUCGAUAAAGAUGGUUGUAAAUAACCAAAGUGUUGUUCUUGAUAUGAGGAUCUUCCCUACAAAUAACAUAAAUUAUUUUAGCUAUUACAAAAAUCAAAUGUAAAAUAGUAAAAUCAAAAGAACAGAAUCAAGAUAAUUACCUCAAAAUAAUUAGUUGCUGAAAAACCUUGUGAAUAAUCUACCAUACUCUCUUUAUACGUUUGUUGAUUUGUCCCAACAUCAUUGUUCUGAAAAAUUGUCAACAAACACAUUUCAUACAAUUCAUGUUUUCUUUAAAAAAAAUUAAUUUAAUUUAAAUGGUUUGUUAUGAAUAUUUACAACGUAACAAAAUAAAUAUUUAACAUCUGAAACAAACUUACAGUGGAAAAGUCAAAGACAUGAGAGCUAGCAGUAUCAUGAAGAAAAGAAGGAAGAUGUUGUUGAUCUUCAACUUGAAGUUGUUGUUUAUUUUUGUCUUUAACAUUCUGUUUCUUUGAAGCACUCUUGUUCUGUUUCACUAAGUUGGAUUCUGAAUAAAAGCAAGCAUUGUUUUUUUGAUUGAAGUAAUUAGCAUCAUCAUCAAAUGGAAGAUAUUGUGGAGGUCCAGAAGAAGCAUCAGAAAUCAUAGACAAAUCUUCAACACCUUCAGAAUAGUCAUUUGUGACUAUUUUAUCUUUGUGUUCCCCAUAAUACCCUCCUCCAAAAGAGUGUUCAAGGUAUAGAGUCCAACCUGACUCACAUCCACUACUACAUUCUGAAUCAAAUGCACUCAUGUUUUCUUUUCUAGAUUCUACUUUCUAGUGUAUAUGAUGAAAGAAAAGAAAGACUACUAGGUAGAUGUAAAAGGGUGAAAACAAUGGAACAUUUUAUUAAGGUUGUUUGUGUUUUGUAGCAAUGUGGGUUCAGUCCAGUUAAACCAUCAAAACAAUCGUCUUCGCCUCAUAAAACAAACUAAAAUUACCUCUAGAGAUCAUUUUAUUUAAUUAAAACUAAUUACAGAGUGAAUUAAAUAUUGUAUUUUUAUGUAAGAUUUUAAGCCAUUAAAUUAUAUACUCUUGAUUAUUUAGUGUUUAAAUCCAAUUUUCUAUUUAAUGUAGUAUUUUUAUUUAUAUUUGUACAUCUACAUCAAUAUGUAGUAUUUUUAUUUAUAUUUAUACAUCUACAUCAAUAUGUAGUUUUUUUUUUAAUAAUUUAAUUUUUUUUAAAUUAUCAAUAUAUUUUCCUUUAAAAAUUAUAUACUAAAUAGGCAUUCUUUUUCAAUUAGUUAGAAAUCAUUAUUUUCAAAAGUUAUUUUUUUUAUGAAAGUCUGAGUUUGAGUUCGGAUUGAUGAUUUCAUUUUUUCUUUUUUUUUUUAUUUUCCACUAAAUUCUCUUUUAAAAUAGCGACUUUUCGAUCAUACAUAGAAAUCACAUUUUUUAGGACAACUUUCCAAAAUACAUUAUAGUCCAAAAAAAAAAAUAAAUCUUUAAAAAACUUGUGGUUCUAAACUCAAAUUUUCUUAACGAAGUCGUAUUUGCAGAUUUUAAUUUGUAUAUGGAUAAUUUUUUUAAGAUUGGGUUAUUAAAAUAAAAAAAAUCUCAAUAUAUAAGUAUAUUAUAUUAAUUUUAAAAUUAAUAAAAUUUUACCUAAAAUAAAUUAAUAAAUUUUAUCAAUUUAAAAAAAUUAAAUAAAAUUAGUUAUCAUAGUUUAUAAAAAAUCUAGAACAUUCGAUAAAAUAAAAUUAAAAAAAAAAAGUAAUUUUAUUGAAGUUUAAAAGUAGCAUAGUUUAAAAAUGAAAAAUUUGGAGCUUAAUAUAUGUUGUACCGACCUUAAAUGUGUGAGUAGUUGUAUAUAGGUGGUGGAAAAAAACAAAGAGAAUCAAAGUAAAAUCCUAGAGUAAUUUUGUCCUGACUCAAGUCUGUAUGCGAAUGAAUCAAAAAAUGCCAGUUGUGUGUGUUAUAAUGGGUUGCAUGUAAGAGAGAGAAGAAGCACAUCACACCAUGACCAUACCCCAUUGAUUCACAUGCUAGACAGCGAGGCACAGUGUACCCUCUCAACAAAACAGGGUACACGUCUAUUUCCAUUCUACAGUUUAUUGACACCUAUCACAAUUCUAUCUACACCUACUUUUCAUUUAUCCUAAUUUUAAGGAGGACUAUAAUAUUGUUACUUAUUUCAUUCAACUCAAGGGUCAAUAAUCUAACUCAAACUCAUUCUCCAAAUAUGGAUUUUAUAAGGUACAUCACUAACCUCAUUUGUACCUACUUCAAAUAAGGGAAAAAUAUAUUAUGCUAUUUUUAACAUAUAUAGAUAUAGUGCAUUCAUUUUCAUUUCAUGUGCUUCAUUUAUUAUGUGGCGGGAUUAAAACAUCGCUCAAUAGAAAUAAAAUCUUCUUGUAUAGCCUGUAUUGUAAUACUAUACACUAAUACUACCAUAUAUAUAGCUUGCAGAUCACAAUUAAGUUUUUGGUUUUGCAAUUAAAAAAAUUGAUUUUUGUAAUUUGUUUUCGAUUAAAAGAAAAUAUAAAUUAAAUUAUGUUUGAAUAUAUUUGUGUGAAAGUAAUUUAACUUAUAAGCUUUCAUGAAAAAAUUAUUUUUUUAGUUGAAAACUAUAAAUUAUAGUUUUAACUUGAUUAAUUUCAUUCGAUAAUAUUUAUUAAUUAUGUCAAAAUUAUUUCUUUAUAAAAAAUAUUGAAGAUGUAAAAUUAAUUAUAAGUUAUUUUAGUUAGAUGUUAAUUACAUAUUAGUUACGCUAGUUAGAAGUUAAUUGUUCUAAUUUGGGUAUAUAAAUUUUAUUAUAUCUAUUAUUGUAAUUAUCUUUUUAAAUUCUUCAACACAAAAAAAUUCUCUAUUUUUCUCUCUUUCAUGAAUCAAUAUAAAAAUUUGAUAUAUUCUAUUAUGGAAUUAGAAAACUAAUUAUUCCGCUAUUUUUUUUUCAAAAAAUUAUUAAGAAAAUUUGCAUAAUGACAAUGAAAAAAAACAAUCAACCAAUGGGCAUUAAAGACAGAUAUUUGUCGGAAAAAACUAUUUCAAAACUUAAGACUUCUUCCAUA